GUGCAUCCAACUAUCACCUCUUGACCUCUUUUUUUUUUUGUGAAAUCACCUCUUGACCUCACUUCGUAUAUAAACCCCAGAGUAGAAACUGCCAGUUACAUUUUUUGUUAAAAUUUGCACACUCUUCAUGCUGGAAUUCUACGCUAAAUUGUGUGUGAUUUUUGGUGGUGGGAUUUGCAAAAAGCUGAGAUAACCAAGAUUUUUGGUGGUGGGAGUAUAGUACAUUUAUGUACUAGUAUAAAGAAACGACGAAUUGAUCCUUUGGGAUAAUCAAAUCUAUGUAAGUACUUAUGAAUAAUUCAAAUAUCCAAUUCGACUCCCGAGCUCAUCUACAUCAUGUAAACAGUAAUUCAAAUAAAAUAAUAGAAUUUUUUUAAAAAAAAUCCAAACUUUUUAUGGUGAAAGAUGCUUGAGUGCAUGAUGUCCGUGCCCAGUUUUAGCUCAUUCGGACAUCUGAGUAGCACUAAAAAAAUCAGCUCCGAACUUUGUCACAGACCUCAAAUCUAUCCUUUUUGUUGAGAGCUUGUCGGAUGUUCAAAUGCACUCUUCAUGCGCUGAAUUUUUGCACGGGCAUCACGAACCCACGCAUCUUUCACCACAAAAAAAUUGAUAUAUUUUUAUUUCUUUUACUAUUUUUGGCGAUUUUACUGUUCACUCAUUUGAGCCCGGGAGCCAAAACGCCCUGUCGUGAAUACUUGCACGUAUCACAUAUACUCAGGUUUUUUAUUUGAGCAUGAAACAUGUAUUAUAUUUUAUAUAAAAUAUGUUGUUUCUGACCAUGUAAUUUUAUUGUACAUGUUUUAUUAAUCAAAUUAAAGACCUAAAAAGCCGUGUUCAACUUAUAAAGUAAAUCGAAGGGAGUACGUGAUCUGUGCAAGUAUUCAUAAGUACUGCUUCCUACAGCUUACAAAGAUUUGAUUUAUCUUAAGACAUCACUUCGUGGUGACCACGAUGGAUUAUAAAGGAUUUCAGCUAGAAAUGAUCGGGUCAACUACUUGUAACUGCAAUCACUUUUCUUACUCCCUCGGUUCACAAAUAUAAGAUAUUUUAAUUUUAUUGUGAAUCAAAUCUACAUAUACACAUUUUAGUGUGUUUGUUCGUUUAUUUUUAUUUGUAUGCAAUUCAUAUUAAAAUAUUCAAAACAUCUUAUAUUUGUCAACGGAGGGAGUAAUAAUUUAGAGGGUCAUGUGUCACAUCUGAUGUUUCUGCAAACCCUGUUCAUAUGAAGUUUUAUUAACACCUGAUUGGCAUGCAUCGACAGUGACGUAUGUCUUUGUUCCUGGUAAAGUGUCCCUAUCAAAAUACUUAGCAUAUACUUAUAGCUAAAAAUAGUUACUUUGACUGUUUUACUAAUCCUAAGUCGUCUAUGAUUUAUUUAUGUCUAUAAGGCGAUUUCUGAAAAAUAUAAUAGCUUUUGAACUGAAAACACGACAAGGACUAUGAAAUACUCUAACCAAGUGUAAUUCUUCAAUUGUCUAAAGGAAAAAAAAGUACUUCUCCACAACUAGCCAACUACAGAUUCCCUCCGCAAGUAGGCAGCUACCCCGAAUAAGUUACUACACUGCACAAUUACCAACAGCAGCAAGUUGCCUUAUAUUUACCGUACGCCGUGGAGUCAAGAAGCUCCAAGACAUUGUUGAACCAGCUCGUCUCGUUGCUAAGAGACACCGGCACAAACGUCGCUACCCCUCUGCUCUUCAAGAACGCCGGGUCAAGCGCCGUUGCGCCGCCCACCGCGAAGUUCGCGCCAUGCCGGAAGUCAUCCGCGGUCUCGCCGGCGAGGUAGGGGGUUGGUUGUGGCAACCCCAGCGACUCCACUGCGUCCACAGAAAUUGGGAAGAUAGUUGGUCACGAAUGUAUAUAGGUCAACGCGUGUCUCCACCAGAAGAAGAAUGAUUCGUGGCUAAAUGGUUACCGAUGAAGUCGAUGAUGAGCCGGCCGUCGGACGCCCGGCCGCUGGGGUGGUGGAAGUAGGUCUCCCCGUACGGCGCGUGGGAGGAGGGCCCCCCGGCGGUGGCCGGGAGGAUGGCCGCGUUCCCGGUGUCGGUGAGCGAGUCGCCGAAGCUGAAGACGCGGCUGUAGCUGCUGGCCAGCUGGGCGUCCCUGCCGCCGGCGUACGGCGUGGCGGCUGCCUCUCCGGCGAUUAGGACGAGGAGAAGAGCCACCAGGAUGCGAGAUAAGUGUGCCAUGUCGACGGUUUCAGCAGCUCUAUGUCCUGUAACUAGGCUAGUAUUUUGUGGUAGUGUUGUGUCAUGAAGACUCAGGGUUGGAAUUUGCCAGUGGACCUUAGGCUCAAAGCCCAACUAAAAUUUUAAAAGUCGCUUGGCCUAUUCAUGUACACAUGUGAGUGGAGUAAGUGAGAGUAAUGUUUAGUCCCAUCAUGGAAGUUGAGUGAGACUUGCACCUCUUUAUAAGAUGAGCUCUUCUACCACUUGUAUGGGCAUGAGAAGAAGAGACCUACACGAGCGCUCCUCCUCCUCGCUCGCCUCGCCUCGCCACGUCUCGCCUCGACGCGACGCGACGCGGGUUGCGGGAUUGAGCCGAGACGAGGACAGAGCUAUGCACGUUGCAAGUCUUCUCCAUCCCUCCUUUCGGCGUGCACCGCAAGAAGGGACAGCAGGCCUCCGGAACAAGGCGCUCUUCUGAGUGUUCUUGAUGAUUCCCUUGUGGAUUCGUAUAUGUCAUCUGACAACGGCAAGGACAUGUGAGCUGCGCUCGAUGCCAAGUUUGGUGCCUCGGACGCCGGCAGCGAGUUGUAUGUCAUGGAGCAAUUCUAUGACUACAAGAUGACUGAUGAGCGUUCUGUUGUACGGCAGGCUCAUGAGAUACAUGUUGGAAAUAUGCCCUAGAGGCAAUAAUAAAUAGGUUAUUAUUAUAUUUCCUUGUUCAUGAUAAUCGUUUAUUAUCCAUGCUAGAAUUGCAUUGAUAGGAAACUCAGAUACAUGUGUGGAUACAUAGACAACACCAUGUCCCUAGUAAGCCUCUAGUUGACUAGCUCGUUGAUCAAUAGAUGGUUACGGUUUCCUGACCAUGGACAUUGGAUGUCGUUGAUAACGGGAUCACAUCAUUAGGAGAAUGAUGUGAUGGACAAGACCCAAUCCUAAGCCUAGCACAAGAUCGUGUAGUUCGUUUGCUCAGAGCUUUUCUAAUGUCAAGUAUCAUUUCCUUAGACCAUGAGAUUGUGCAACUCCCGGAUACCGUAGGAAUGCUUUGGGUGUACCAAACGUCACAACGUAACUGGAUGGCUAUAAAGGUGCACUACAGGUAUCUCCGAAAGUGUCUGUUGGGUUGGCACGAAUCGAGAUUGGGAUUUGUCACUCCGUGUAAACGAAGAGGUAUCUCUGGGCCCACUCGGUAGGACAUCAUCAUUAUGUGCACAAUGUGACCAAGGAGUUGAUCACGGGAUGAUGUGAGUUACGGAACGAGUAAAGAGACUUGCCGGUAACGAGAUUGAACAAGGUAUAGGGAUACCGACGAUCGAAUCUCGGGCAAGUAACAUACCGAUAGACAAAGGGAAUUGAAUACGGGAUUGAUUGAAUCCCCGACAUCGUGGUUCAUCCGAUGAGAUCAUCGUGGAACAUGUGGGAGCCAACAUGGGUAUCCAGAUCCCGCUGUUGGUUAUUGACCAGAGAACGUCUCGGUCAUGUCUGCAUGGUUCCCGAACCCGUAGGCUCUACACGCUUAAGGUUCGAUGACGCUAGGGUUAUAGGGAAAGCAUGUACGUGGUUACCGAAUGUUGUUCGGAGUCCCGGAUGAGAUCCCGGACGUCACGAGGAGUUCCGGAAUGGUCCGGAGGUAAAGAUUUAUAUAUGGGAAGUCCUGUUUUGGUCACCGGAAAAGUUUCGGGUGUUAUCGGUAAUGUACCGGGACCACCGGGAGGGUCUCGGGGGUCCACCAAGUGGGGCCACCAGCCCCAGAAGGCUGCGUGGGCCAAGUGUGGGAGGGGACCAGCCCCAGGUGGGCUGGUGCGCCCCCCCACCAAGGCCCAAGCGCAUGGGAGAGUGGGAGGGGGCAAACCCUAGGUCCAGAUGGGCCUUAAGGCCCACCCUAGUGGCGCCCCCCCUCUCCUCCCCUUGGCCGCCCCCCUUGGAUGGGAUCUAGGGCUGGCCGCCUCCUCUUGGGGUGGGAAACCCUAGAGGGGGCGCAGCCCCCUCCCCCCCUAUAUAUAGUUGAGGUUUGGGCUGCCCAAGACACAUGAGAACGUCUCUCUUUUGGCGCAGCCCUACCCCUCUCCCUCCUCCUCCUCUCCCGCGGUGCUUGGCGAAGCCCUGCGGGAUUGCCACGCUCCUCCAUCACCACCACGCCGUCGUGCUGCUGCUGGAUGGAGUCUUCCCCAACCUCUCCCUCUCUCCUUGCUGGAUCAAGGCGUGGGAGACGUCACCGGGCUGCACGUGUGUUGAACGCGGAGGCACCGUUCUUCGGUGCUUAGAUCGGAAUCAACCGCGAUCUGAAUCGCUACGAGUACGACUCCUUCAUCCGCGUUCUUGCAACGCUUCCGCAUCGCGAUCUACAAUGGUAUGUAGAUGCACUCCCCUUCCCCUCGUUGCUAGAUUACUCCAUAGAUUGAUCUUGGUGAUGCGUAGAAAAUUUUGAAUUUCUGCUACGUUCCCCAACAGUGGCAUCAUGAGCUAGGUCUAUGCGUAUUUCUAUGCACGAGUAGAACACAAAGAAGUUGUGGGCGUAGAUGUUGCCAAUUCUUCUUGCCGCUACUAGUCUUAUCUUGUUUCGGCGGCAUUGUGGGAUGAAGCGGCCCGGACCGACCUUACACGUACGCUUACGUGAGACAGGUUCCACCGACUGACAUGCACUAGUUGCAUAAGGUGGCUAGCGGGUGUCUGUCUCUCCCACUUUAGUCGGAACGGAUUCGAUGAAAAGGGUCCUUAUGAAGGGUAAAUAGAAAUUGGCAUAUCACGUUGUGGUUUUGCGUAGGUAAGAAACGUUCUUGCUAGAAACCCAUAGCAGCCACGUAUAACAUGCAACAACAAUUAGAGGACGUCUAACUUGUUUUUGCAGGGUAUGCUAUGUGAUGUGAUAUGGCCAAAAGGAUGUGAUGAAUGAUAUAUGUGAUGUAUGAGAUUGAUCAUGUUCUUGUAAUAGGAAUCACGACUUGCAUGUCGAUGAGUAUGACAACCGGCAGGAGCCAUAGGAGUUGUCUUUAUUUUUGUAUGACCUGCGUGUCAUUGAAUAACGCCAUGUAAAUUACUUUACUUUAUUGCUAAGCGCGUUAGCCAUAGAAGUAGAAGUAAUCGUUGGCGUGACAACUUCAUGAAGACACAAUGAUGGAGAUCAUGGUGUCAUGCCGGUGACAAAGACGAUCAUGGUGCCCCGAAGAUGGAGAUCAAAGGAGCAAAAUGAUAUUGGCCAUAUCAUGUCACUAUUUGAUUGCAUGUGAUGUUUAUCAUGUUAUGCAUCUUAUUUGCUUAGAACGACGGUAGCAUAAAUAAGAUGAUCCCUCACUAAAAUUUCAAGAGAAGUGUUCCCCCUAACUGUGCACCGUUGCGAAGGUUCGUUGUUUCGAAGCACCACGUGAUGAUCGGGUGUGAUAGAUUCUAACGUUCGAAUACAACGGUUGUUGACGAGCCUAGCAUGUACAGACAUGGCCUCGGAACACAUGCAAAACACUUAGGUUGACUUGACGAGCCUAGCAUGUACAGACAUGGCCUCGGAACACAAGAGACCGAAAGGUCGAACAUGAGUCGUAUAGCAGAUACGAUCAACAUGGAGAUGUUCACCGAUGAUGACUAGUCCGUCUCACGUGAUGAUCGGACACGGCCUAGUUUGACUCGGAUCAUGUAUCACUUAGAUGAAUAGAGGGAUGUCUAUCUGAGUGGGAGUUCAUUAAUCAGAUGAACUCAAUUAUCAUGAACAUAGUCAAAAGGUCUUUGCAAAUUAUGUCAUAUCUUGCGCUUUAGUUCUACUGUUUAAGAUAUGUUCCUAGAGAAAAAAAAUUAGUUGAAAGUUAAUAGUAGCAAUUAUGCGGACUGGGUCCGUAAACUGAGGAGUGUCCUCAUUGCUACACAGAAGGCUUAUGUCCUUAAUGCACCGCUCAGUGUGCUGAACCUCAGCGUCGUCUGUAGAUGUUACGAAACAUCUGACAUACACGUUUUGAUGACUACGUGAUAAUUCAGUGUGUAAUGCUAACGGUUUAGAAUUGUGGCACCAGAGACGUUUUUGAAACGUCGCAGAACAUAUGAGAUGUUCCGAAGACUGAAAUUGGGAUUUCAGACUAGUGCCCACGUCAAGAGGUAUGAGACCUCUGACAAGUUUCUUAAACCUGCAAACUAAGGGAGAAAAGCUCAAUCGUUGAGCAUGUGCUCAGAUUGUCUGAGUACUACAAUCGCUUGAAUCGAGUGGGAGUUAAUCUCCCAGAUGAGAUAGUGAUGGUUCUCCAUAGUCACUACCACCAAGCUAGUAGAGCUUCGUGAUGAACUAUAACAUAUCAGGGAUAGUUAUGAUGAUCCUUGAGCUAUUCGCGAUGUUUGACACCGCGAAAGUAGAAAUCAAGAAGAAGCAUCAAUUGUUGAUGGUUAGUAAAACCACUAGUUUCUAGAAGGACAAGGGCAAAAGGGAUACUUCAUGAAACAGCAAAUCGUUUGCUGCUCUAGUGAAGAAUCCCAAGGUUGAACCCAAACCCGAGACUAAAUGCUUCUGUAAUGAGGGGAACGGUCACUGAAGCAGUACUACCCUAGAUACUUGGUAGAUGAGAAGGUGGGCAAGGUCGACAGAAGUAUAUUGGAUAUACAUUAUAUGAAUGUGUACUUUACUAGUACUCCUAGCAGCACUAGGGUAUUAGAUACCGGUUCGGUUGCUAAGUGUUAGUAACUCGAAAUAAAAGCUGCGGAAUAAACGGAGACUAGCUAAAAGGUGAGAUGACGAUAUGUGUUGGAAGUGUUUCCAAGGUUGAUGUGAUCAAGCAUCGCAUGCUCCCUCUACCAUCGAGAUUUGGUGUUUGCGUUGAGCAUGAUUGGAUUAUGUUUAUCGCAAUACGGUUAUUCAUUUAAGGAGAAUAAUGGUUACUCUGUUUAUUUGAAUAAUACCUUCAAUGGUCUUGCACCUAAAAUGAAUCUCGAUCGUAGUGAUACACAUGUUCAUGCCAAAAGAUAUAAGAUAGUAAUGAUAGUUCCACAUACUUGUGGCACUGCCAUUUGAGUCAUAUUAGUAUAGAACGCAUGAAGAAGCUCCAUGUAUAUGGAUCUUUGGACUCAGUCGUUUUUGAAAAGAUUGAGACAUGCGAACCAUGUCUAUUGGUAUAUAUGCAUGAAGAAAAUCCAUGCAGAUGGAUCGUUUGGACUCACUUGAUUUUGAAUCACUUGAGACAUGCAAAUCAUACCACAUGGGCAAGAUGACUGAAAGGCCUCGUUUUCAGUAAGAUGGAACAAGAGAGCAACUUAUUGGAAGUAAUACAUUUUGAUGUAUGCAGUCCAAUGAGUGCUGAGGCAUGCAGUGGAUAUCGUUAUGUUCUUACUUCACAAAUGGUUUGAGUAGAUGCUGAGUGUAUUUACUUGAUGAAACACAAGUCUGAAUUAUUGAAAGGUUCAAGUAAUUUCAGAGUGAAGUUGAAGAUCGUCGUAACAAGAGGAUAAAAUAUCUGUGAUAUGCUCAUAGAGAUGAGUAUCUGAGUUACGAGUUUUGGCACACAAUUAAGACAUUGUGGAAAGUAUUUCACAAUUAAUACCGCCUGGAACACCAUAGUGUGAUGGUGUGUCCGAACAUCAUAACUACACCCUAUUGGAUAUGGUGCAUACCAUGAUGUCUCUUAUCAAAUUACCACUAUCGUUUAUGGGUUAGGCAUUAGAGACAACCGCAUUCACUUUAAAAGGGGCACCACGCAAUUCCGUUGAGACGACACCGUUUAGAGAAACCUAAGUUGUCGUUUCUUAAAAGUUUGGGGCUGCGAUGCUUAUGUGAAAAGUUUCAGGCUGAUAAGCUCGAACCCAAAGCGGAUAAAUGCAUCUUCAUAGAAUACCUAAAACAGUUGGGUAUACCUCCUAUUUCAGAUCUGGAAGCAAAAGUAAUUGCUUCUAGAGACAGGUCCUUUCUCGAGGAAAAGUUUCUCACGAAAGAAUUGAGUGGGAGGAUGGUGGAGACUUGAUAAGGUCAUUGAACCGUCACUUCAACUAGUGUGUAGCAGGGCACAGGAAGUUGUUCCUGUGGCACCUACACCAAUUGAAGUGAAGCUUAUGAUAGUGAUCAUGAAACUUCGGAUCAAGUCACCACCAAACCUCGUAGGACGACGAGGAUGCGUGCUACUUCAGAGUGGUACGUGAUCCUGUCUGAGAUAUCAUGUUGUUGGACAAUACUGAACCUACGAGCUGUGGAGAAGUGAUGGUGGGCCCAUAUUCCGACAAAUGGUUAGAAGCCAUGAAAUCCGAGAUAAAUAGAUCUUUGAGAAGAAGACGGACGUGGACGGUAAUGUUACCGUCUAUGAAGCUCGACUUGUGGCAAAGAGUAUUUCCACAAGUUCAAGGAGUUGACUACGAUGAGAUUUUCUCAUCCGUAGCGAUGCUUAAAGUCCGUCGGAAUCAUGUUAGCAUUAGCUGCAUUUAUGAAAUCUGGCAGAUGGAUGUCAAAACAAGUUUCCUUACCAGUUUUUGUAAGGAAAGGUUGUAUGUGAUACAAUCAGAAAGGUUUUGUCGAUCCUAAGGAUGCUAAAAGGUAUGCUAGCUCCAGCGAUCCUUCCAUGGACUAGAGCAAGCAUCUCGGAGUCAGAAUAUACGCUUUGAUGGAGUGAUCAAUGUUUUUGGGUUUAUACAAAGUUUGUUAGAAACUUGUAUUUACAAUAAAGUGAGUGGGAGCGCUACAACAUUUCUGAUAAGUAUAUGUGAAUGACAUAUUGUUGAUCCGAAAUGAUGUAAAAUUUCUGGAAAGCAUAAAGGGUUGUUUGAAAGGACUUUUUUUCAAAGGAAGACCUGGAUAAAGCUGCUUACAUAUUGGGCAUCAAGAUCUAUAGAGAUAGAUCAAAACGCCCGAUGAUACUUUCAAAGAACGCACACCUUGACAUGAUUUUGAUCAGCAAAGAAGGAGUUCUUGGCUGUGUUACAAGGUGUGAGUAUUGAGUAAGACUCAAGACCUGACCACAACAGAAGAGAGAGAAAGGACGAAGGUCGUCCCCUAUGCUUUAGACAUAGGCUCUAUAGUAUGCUAUGCUGUGUACCGCACAUGUAGUGUGCCUUGCCAUGAGUUGGUCAAGGGGUACAAUAGUGAUCCGGGAAUGGAUCACAUGACAGCGAUCGAACUUAUCCUUAGUAUCUAGUGGACUAAGGAAUUUUCUCGAUUAUGGAGGUGAAAAGGAGUUCGUCGUAAAGGGUUACGUCGAUGCGAACUUUGACACUAAUCCGGAUGGCUCUGAGUAGUAAACCGGAUUCGUAUAGUAGAGCAGUUAUUUGAAAUGGCUCCAAGUAGCGCGUGGUAGCAUCCACAAGAUGACAUAAAUAUUCGUAAAGCACACACGGAUCUGAAAGGUUCAGACCCGUUGACUAAUAACCUCUCUCACAAGCAUAACAUGAUCAAACCAGAACUCAUUGAGUGUUAAUCACAUAAUGAUGUGAACUAGAUUGUUGACUCUAGUAAACUCUUUGGAUGUUUGUCACAUGGUGAUGUGACCUAUGAGCGUUAAUCACAUGGUGAUGUGGACUAGAUUAUUGACUCUAGUGCAAGUGGGAGACUGUUGGAAAUAUGCCCUAGAGGCAAUAAUAAAUAGGUUAUUAUUAUAUUUCCUUGUUCAUGAUAAUCGUUUAUUAUCCAUGCUAGAAUUGUAUUGAUAGGAAACUCAGAUACAUGUGUGGAUACAUAGACAACACCAUGUCCCUAGUAAGCCUCUAGUUGACUAGCUCGUUGAUCAAUAGAUGGUUACGGUUUCCUGACCAUGGACAUUGGAUGUCGUUGAUAACGGGAUCACAUCAUUAGGAGAAUGAUGUGAUGGACAAGACCCAAUCCUAAGCCUAGCACAAGAUCGUGUAGUUCGUUUGCUCAGAGCUUUUCUAAUGUCAAGUAUCAUUUCCUUAGACCAUGAGAUUGUGCAACUCCCGGAUACCGUAGGAAUGCUUUGGGUGUACCAAACGUCACAACGUAACUGGGUGGCUAUAAAGGUGCACUACAGGUAUCUCCGAAAGUGUUUGUUGGGUUGGCACGAAUCGAGACUGGGAUUUGUCACUCCGUGUAAACGGAGAGGUAUCUCUGGGCCCACUCGGUAGGACAUCAUCAUUAUGUGCACAAUGUGACCAAGGAGUUGAUCACGGGAUGAUGUGAGUUACGGAACGAGUAAAGAGACUUGCCGGUAACGAGAUUGAACAAGGUAUAGGGAUACCGACGACCGAAUCUCAGGCAAGUAACAUACCGAUAGACAAAGGGAAUUGAAUACGGGAUUGAUUGAAUCCCCGACAUCGUGGUUCAUCCGAUGAGAUCAUCGUGGAACAUGUGGGAGCCAACAUGGGUAUCCAGAUCCCGCUGUUGGUUAUUGACCAGAGAACGUCUCGGUCAUGUCUGCAUGGUUCCCGAACCCGUAGGGUCUACACGCUUAAGGUUCGAUGACGCUAGGGUUAUAGGGAAAGCAUGUACGUGGUUACCGAAUGUUGUUCGGAGUCCCGGAUGAGAUCUCGGACGUCACGAGGAGUUCCAGAAUGGUCCGGAGGUAAAGAUUUAUAUAUGGGAAGUCCUGUUUUGGUCACCGGAAAAGUUUCGGGUGUUAUCGGUAAUGUACCGGGACCACCGGGAGGGUCCGGGGGUCCACCAAGUGGGGCCACCAGCCCCAGAAGGCUGCGUGGGCCAAGUGUGGGAGGGGACCAGCCCCAGGUGGGCUGGUGCGCCCCCCCCCACCAAGGCCCAAGCGCAUGGGAGAGUGGGAGGGGGCAAACCCUAGGUCCAGAUGGGCCUUAAGGCCCACCCUAGUGGCGCCCCCCCUCUCCUCCCCUUGGCCGCCCCCUUGGAUGGGAUCUAGGGCUGGCCGCCUCCUCUUGGGGUGGGAAACCCUAGAGGGGGCGCAUCCCCCUCCCCCCCUAUAUAUAGUUGAGGUUUGGGCUGCCCAAGACACAUGAGAACGUCUCUCUUUCGGCGCAGCCCUACCCCUCUCCCUCCUCCUCCUCUCCCGUGGUGCUUGGCGAAGCCCUGCGAGAUUGCCACGCUCCUCCAUCACCACCACGCCGUCGUGCUGCUACUGGAUGGAGUCUUCCCCAACCUCUCCCUCUCUCCUUGCUGGAUCAAGGCGUGGGAGACGUCACCGGGCUGCACGUGUGUUGAACGCGGAGGCACUGUUCUUCGGUGCUUAGAUCGGAAUCAACCGCGAUCUGAAUCGCUACGAGUAUGACUCCUUCAUCCGCAUUCUUGCAACGCUUCCGCAUCGCGAUCUAUAAUGGUAUGUAGAUGCACUCCCCUUCCCCUCGUUGCUAGAUUACUCCAUAGAUUGAUCUUGGUGAUGCGUAGAAAAUUUUGAAUUUCUGCUACGUUCCCCAACAAUACAGUCACUCGCCAAGGAACUUGAAUACUUUAAGUGUGUGUUGCCAGACAAAUUUGUUGCCGGGGGCAUCAUUGCCAAGCUUCCACCUUCGUGGAACAAUUUUGCUACUUCCCUGAAACACAAGAGACAGGAGUUUUCCGUUGCGGAUCUCAUUGGUACUCUUGAUGUUGAAGAGAAGGCGAGAGCAAAGGACACACGUGCUCGAGUUGCUGAGGGAGCUUCUAGUGCCUGCAUGAAACAGAAGAAGAACUUCCAGCCCAACAAGUUCAAAAACAACAAGAAUAAAACUCAGGGCAAAGGCAAGUUUGAUACAAAGAACAAGCCGUCAUAUUCUACCAACUUCAAGAAGAAUUCUCACGAGAAGGGGAAGGGACUUUGCCAUGUCUGCGGUGAUCCUAAUCACUGGGCUCCGAAGUGUCCUAACCGCUUUGAGGAGCGCGAACAUGAGAAGAGCGGCAAGUCCGCUAAUGUUGUCAUCGGUGAUACUGAUAUGCAGGAAUCCGGGUACGGUAUUCUUCCUACCAUCCUUUCAGUAUUUCAAUCUCCUGAUUGGUUAAUUGACACCGGUGCCAAUGUACAUGUUUGUGCUGACGCCUCUAUGUUUUCUUCUUACCUGGUCACAGGGACUUCUCCCGUGCUGAUGGGGAACGGGUCACAUGCCAUCGUUCGAGGUGUCGGUACGGUCGAUCUGAAGUUUACUUUGGGGAAGACCGUGCGUCUGAAGAACGUUCAUCAUGUGACGUCCAUCAAUAAAAAUCUCGUUAGCGGUUCCCGUUUAUGUCGAGAUGGUUUUAAGUUGGUUUUCGAGUCCAAUAAAGUUGUAAUUUCUAAGUAUGAACAAUUUGUUGGAAAAGGCUAUGAGAGCGGAGGCUUGUUCCACCUGUCUUUGUCAGAUAUUUGUACUAAAGUUAUUAAUAAUGUUUGCCACAAUAAUGAGUCUGAUAUUUGGCAUUCACGACUUUUUCAUAUUAACUUUGGUUGCAUGACGCGGCUAGCCAAUAUGAAUUUAAUUUCGAAAAUCUCUACUGUCAAAGGCUCCAAGUGCCAAGUAUGUGUGCAAGCUAAGCAACCUCGCAAGUCCCAUAAGACUGCAGAGGCAAGAGACUUGGCGCCACUAGAGCUUAUACAUUCUGAUCUUUGUGAGAUGAAUGGCGUGUUGACAAAAGGUGGAAAGAGAUACUUCAUGACGUUGAUUGAUGACUCCACUAGAUAUUGUUAUGUGUAUCUUCUGAAAUCAAAAGAUGAGGCUUUAACUUUCUUCAAAAAACUAUAAAGCUGAAGCAGAGAACCAACUUGAUCAAAAAAUUAAACGGCUUAGGUCCGAUCGUGGUGGAGAGUACUUUUCCAAUGAAUUUGAUUUGUUCUGUGCGGAACAUGGUAUAAUCCAUGAGAGGAUGCCUCCUACCCACCUCAGUCAAAUGAGGUAGCCGGAAGAAAGAACCGAACUGUAACUGAUAUGGUUAACACCAUGUUAGACACAUCGGAUCUCUUCAGGAAUGGUGGGGAGGAGGCGCUAAUGACUGCGUGUCAUGUCCUAAACCGAGUUCCCACAAAGCAUAAGACCAUGACUCCAUUUGAGGAAUGGGAAAGGGUUGAAACUCUCUUACCUACGUACUUGGGGUUGUUUGGCGAAAGUCAAUAUACCAAUUCCCAAGAAGCGCAAGCUUGGACCAAAAACCGUGGAUUGUGUUCUUCUGGGCUAUGCUUUUCAUAGCAUUGGCUAUAGAUUUUUGAUAAUAAAAUAUGAGGUAUUCGACAUGCAUGUUGGUACGAUUAUGGAGUCGAAUGAUGCAUCUUUCUCUGUGGACAUAUUUCCUAUGAAGGAUAUGUCGAGUUCAUCAAAUCAGGAGAUACCUACUCCAUCUAGUGAGGAAUUCGCUGUAAUUCCUGAACCCACCAUUGUGAUGGAACACGUUGAGAAUCCUAUUGAGGGUGACAAUUGAACUCCUGUGAGGAGUAAGAGACAGAGGACUGCAAAGUCCUUUGGUGAUGAUUUCAUUGUGUACCUUGUGGAUGACACAUCCAUGACUAUUUCAGAAGCAUAUGCAUCUCCUGAUGCUACUGGAAGGAAGCUGUUCGUAGCGAGAUGGAUUCCAUCUUAGCUAACGGAACCUGGGAAAUCACUGACCGUCCUUAUGGGUGCAAACCUGUAGGAUGUAAGUGGGUCUUCAAGAAGUAGCUUAGACCUGAUGGUAAGAUUAAAAAGUACAAGGCACGGCUUGUGGCUAAGGGUUAUACCCAGAAAGAAGGUGAAGACUUCUUUGAUACUUACUCACCCGUGGCUAGACUGACCACAAUUCGGGUGCUACUAUCACUGGCUGCCUCACAUGGUCUUCUCGUUCAUCAAAUGGAUGUUAAGACGGCUUUCCUCAAUGGAGAGUUGAAGGAGGAAAUUUACAUGGAUUAGCCAGAUGGUUUUGUAAUACCUGGUCGGCAAGGAAAGGUGUGCAAGUUAUUAAAGUCUUUAAAUGGCCUUAAACAAGCUCCUAAGGAGUGGCAUGAGAAGUUCGAAAGAACAUUAACUGCUGCCGGCUUUGUAGUAAACGAUGGUGACAAGUGUGUGUACUAUCGCCAUGGUGGGGGCGAAGGAGUUAUUCUUUGUCUGUAUGUCGACAACAUACUGAUCUUUGGAACCAAACUUGAUUUAAUUAAGGAGGUUAAGGAUUUCUUAUCUCGUUGCUUUGAGAUGAAGGAUCUAGGAGUAGCUGAUGUUAUCUUAAACAUCAAGCUGUUGAGAGAUGAGAAUGGUGGAUCACACUGCUUCAGUCUCAGUAUGUUGAAAAGAUCUUGAGUCAUUUUGGGUAUAGCGACUGCAUGCCUUCUCCAACUCCAUAUGAUGCUAGUGUGUUGCUUCGAAAGAAUAACGGAUUGCUAGAGAUCAACCGAGGUAUUCUCAGAUUAUUGGCUCGCUUAUGUAUUUUGCGAGUGCCACGAGGCCUGACAUCUCUUUUGCUGUGAGCAAGCUGAGUCGGUUUGUGUCAAAACCGGGAGAUGAUCAUUGGCAUCCGCUUGAGAGAGUUAUGCGCUACUUGAAAGGCACUGCGAGCUAUGGGAUUCACUACACCGGGUAUCCAAGGGUACUGGAGGGUUAUAGUGACUCAAACUGGAUAUCUGAUGCCGAUGAGAUUAAGGCCACAAGUGGUUAUGUUUUUACACUUGGUGGUGGCACUGUUUCCUGGAAGUCUUGCAAGCAGACCAUCUUAACGAGGUCAACUAUGGAAGUAGAACUCACAGCAUUAGACACUGCCACUGUUGAAGCAGAGUGGCUUCGUGAGCUCUUGAUGGACUUACCUAUGGUUGAAAAACCAAUACCCCCCUAUCCUGAUGAACUGUGAUAAUCAAACUAUGAUCGUCAGGAUAAACAGUUCUAAGGACAAUAUGGAGUCCUCAAGGCAUGUGAAGAGAAGACUAAAAUCUGUCAGAAAAUUGAGGAACUCCGGAUUUAUUACGUUGGAUUAUAUCCAAACGUCGAAAAACUUGGCAGAUCCCUUCACAAAGGGUCUAUCACAUAAUGUGAUAGAUAAUGCAUCGAUGGAGAUGGGUUUGAGACCCACCGCAGGAGUUGUCCAUAGUGGUAACCCACUCUAUGUGAUCGGAGAUCCCGUGAAGUAGAAGUGGGAGACAAGCUGUUGGUCAGCUGAGAGGAGAAUAUCCCUAUUUUAAUUAUCCCACUCCGUGAAGAUGCAAUAUUCUCUGCAUGGCAGGUUGAUAUUUAUCUUAAUGUGUUCCAAGUGGCUUAUUUGAGUAAGCAGAGAUGUUGUCCUGCAGAGCAUCUCCUGAGGAACACACCUAUAUGAAUUUGACUGUUAACGUCACAGUCUGUGAGAAUUGGGUGUUCUCUAAUAAAUUCAUGAAAGGCCCUGGAGUAUGACGUAUAUGCUCCACCCGCGGGGAUGCCUUGCGGCAGUCCAGUAUCAGUCAAGAAUUUGUGUGAAACUAGUCUCGCAGAAAACUUGUAGUUCAAGGCAUAGUCCACUAUUCAAGUUGUGAUCUAGUGUAGCAUAAAACUCUAAGUGGAAGUUCAACUUCACAGUCUCCACUAAGCACCAGUAUAUAAACAAUGUUUUGGAACUAAAUGAUGAGAUGUGCCAAUGAGACUUUGUGGGGGAUUGUUGGAAUUUGCUAGUGGACCUUUGGCCCAAAGCCCAACUAAAAUUUUGAAAGUCUUUUGGCCCAUUCAUGCACACAUGUGAGUGGAGUGAGUGAGACUAAAGUUUAGUCCCACCACGGAAGUUGAGUGAGACUUGCACCUCUUUAUAAGGUGAGCUCUUCUACCACUUGUAUGAGCAUGAGAAGAGGAGACCUACACGCGCGCUCCUCCUCCUCGCUCGCCUUGCCACGCCUCGUCAUGACACGCCGCGGGUUGCGGGAUUGAGCCGAGGACAGAGUAUGCACGCUGUCUAUAUUUUUGCUACUCGAGAAAAUUAAUGAGUCAUUAAUUAAUAAUUAACGGACGCGUUAAUUACUGAACCGUUUCCGAUUCUUUUGGAUCGCGAAUCGGACGUGGGGUUUACUCCCACGACCUACCCAGUCCGCACAAUAUAGUCAGGCAGACGUCUACCCUAGCCGCCGCCGUAUCGUAUGGUUUCGCACCACCGUUCCAGAUCAUUGCGCCGCCAAGCAAGCCUUCUCCAUCCCUCCUUUCGGCGUACACCGCAAGAAGGGACAGCAGGCCUCCGGAACCCCGCCUCUCGUGAUCCUGUACUGGAGAGGGGCGAUCAGGUUUUUGGGGAGCGUGCUCGCGCGACUGCUAGCAGCGACGACUUCGCCAACGACGACUUCUUCCCUGAUCUCGGCAACCUCAUCCUCGACGACAUGGCCGACAACGUCAACGCCGGCGGUGCUACUCCCGCUGCACCGUAUGUGAUUCUAUCCUUCUUGUUCGAGAUCGUGGUAGAAUUCAUGUCUCUAGUAUGUGCCCUAGAUGUGAUCUAUUCAUCUACUAUGCUAGUUCGCAUGAUUAGUUUAAUCCCUACUAUUGGUGUCAUGUAUUAUCUUUUGUUUAUUCGGAUUAAAUCUCGUAGUAAUUUGCUCAUAUUUUCAACACUCAGAAGCUGGUGGCCCUUAUUUUGUUGGCCGAGACUAACAACUUUUUUAGCACAAUACAAUGACAGAUUUGUCGAAAGUGCUCUUUUGCAUACACGCAUACUAUACUCAGCCUUAUAAACACCCCGCAUUGUAUACCCUAUCCGUAUUGGCUUUUCCGAAAUACUGUCAGCAACAUCUUGAGAUUGAUGAAAUCAUCACAAAUGCCUAGUAAUCGACGUGGAAUAAAUACAGAAAAAGGCUUGCACCGAUGGUAAGUUUAGAACUUGAACCCACACAAAGAAACUAACUAUCCUCUUGGAGCUCAUGGUUGUAUUGUACUUGAGCAUUCAUUACCGGAUGUUCGCGUGCUUUUUUUUCAAAAAGAGGAAAUAUCCCUUGGCCUAUACAUCGAGUGAUGCACACAGCCUUUUAUUUAUCAUUUCAAAGUUUAUCAUUCAAUCACAAUGAAGUUCAAUAAAAGACGGUCACACAUGGAUGCUCCAAGGGCAAAUUAAGAAAGAAUGCACAGGAAUGAGCCUCAUGCAUUACAAAGCCGGAGAGACCAUCCACCAUCGGUUGCAUCCAAAGACCGUGGGUGCACGAGCCCCCUCCUUGCAUAGUAAUGAGCACGUAUGAAUGCAACUGAUGGUCUUGAUAACAUGCAAAUUCUUUGGAUCUUUCGUUCUGUUAGAAAUACAGUCAUUACAAGUGCUCCAAAUGGCCCAAAGUAAAGCACAAAUUACCACACGGAUAUGAGACUUCAACUUGGGAUGCACCCCACUAACCAAUUUUCAAAAUAUAUUGGUACUACUCGUGGGCGAAGGUAGAUUAAAAGCUAUAUGGACAGAUUGCCAUAGUAGCUUGGCAAGUUGGCAUUGAAGGAAUAGAUGCUGAAUCAACUCCUCAUCACCAAAAAAGCAAGACUUGGUGUAUCCUUGUAAAUAUCUUUUUUUUGAUUAUUUUUGUCAGGACGACCUUUCGAUCUAAAUACCACAUGAUUUCCGUUUUCAACGGGAAUUUCAUUUUCCAAAUAUAUUUGCACUGAAAAGGUUGCCCAUCAUUGAUGAGGUCCGUAUACAUGGAUUUGGUUGUGAAGACACCAAAAGUAGUCAACUUAAAACGGAGUGUGUCUAAUUCAUGUGAAAUGUUGACCAUCAUCAUCUUUUCAAUAAGGUUUGACCAGUCCGUCCAAUUGUCUCCAAUCGAUGGUCUUCUAAAGGCAACAUUCAAUGAUUUUUGACCCCAUGAGGCCUUUCCAGAAAGAUGAGUCCGUUGGUUUUUCCUGAAUCGCACGCCCAAGCCAGCAUCCUACUUGGGGUGGCAUACCCUCUCCCAUGGCACAAUGUAUUUUGCCCCAACAUCAUAUGCAGGCACUUGAUCUCGGUGGAGACUUGGUCAUGGUGAACAUGCAAUGGUCGUCGUCCUACUCUCUUCUACAACCACUUGUUGUCCGAGGCCCGUGCUACGAGCUAGGCCUUCUCCCUCGUGGACCUCUACCAGGGGGGCCAAUUGGUGGAUGGGCCAAGGCUGGUGGCCCCUUUCUCCAGGUCAGAGAUCAAGGUAUCCUUCGCUGGUUUUGACCGGGCUAGUUCCUCGGGCCUAAACGGCAUGGGCAUGAGUUUCUACCAUGCUGCAUGGUCUGACGUCUCUGAGGACAGGGAUCAUAUCUUCCUCGCCUUCUUCAACAGUGUUGCUAGCCCUGGGUGCUUAAACUGUGAGCACAUACUCUUACUGCCCAAGGCUAGUGGUGUCCUCGUUUCUGGAGCCUACUAGUCGGUCUCUCCACAAAAGUGUGACAUCAAAGCUCUAUGCAAGUUCCUGACUAGCCGGCUCAAAGGGCAGAUUUUGACAGUGUUCGACCAGGAUUAGUUUGGUUUCAUCGAUGGGCGAAGCAUAUCCGAGAACUUCGUGUACGCCACUGAGGUCGUUUAGUGUUGAUACCAUCGUAGAGCCCCUACUACCGUCCUGAAGAUUAACUUCGCCAAGGCCUUUGGCUCAAUCAACUGAGGUAUCCUUCUUGCGGACACGUCGAUCAUGGGGUUUCCCUCUUGGUGGUGUUGGCUGGAUGAACAAAAUCUUUUAAAACACGACGUCCACGAGGUUGCGCCUGGGUCCUCAUGAAUUUGGUUGAAAAUUGGUGACUGCCCGCUCUCAGGAGAUGCCUCCCUCUAGCUUGGCCUUCACUGGAGCUCUCUCUACUACCUUUUUCCACUCUACCACAUGAUCAUGCGGUGGUAAUCAGCGACGGGUGUUGUACCUCAUUUUGUCGGGACUCGUGGCCCCCCGCGGUGUUCCCUGUGUGGCUCCCCCAGUUUUCUUCUCCCAUGAGAACGGAAAGAAGCUCUCAAUUGCUAAAGAUCUCGAUCGGGGCCUAUAUGGCACCCUCGUCCCUUGACUACCAUAUCUAGAGCUCAUGUCUGUAUUAUAUUUGGUUAGUCUUCUACGGAUGUUCACGUGCUUGUAGAUCGGUUCAAGCUUCUAAUCUUAGUUUUAAUUAGAUUGAUGGUUAUUUUAUUUCAAAAUAAAUCAUGACUACGUCCUCCAAUUUUUUUGGACAAGAAUAGCUCGAGAACAUCAGCAUUUUUUAGGGGUAUCACCACUUUAUUUAUUCAACAAGUACGUAAGUUGGGAUACAAGCAAUAUCUGGGGUUGUAGAAGCCACAGGUGGGGCCCCACAUCAAAAGAUAAACUAGCUUUGGCUAAACUAUGAGCUUCUCUAGGUUCAAACUUUACAAGAUCUAUUUCAAAUCUACCAUCAAAUCUUUAAUGUCAUUGAUGAUCAUCGAAUUCAUCAUCACCUUGCAAUCUAUGGCAACCUGAAUUUUGUGAAUAUGCAAGUCUAGAGCUAGCGAUAGUGCUUCACGUACAACCAUGCUUCUAGUACUCCUGGCUCAAUCAUUUCCUGCUCAAGUACUGUGGAUGCCCCUACAUAUUUGCCAUCAUAUUCUCUACAAAUAGUUGCACAUGAGCCUACCUGCUCAUUUGUGAAAAUGGCAACAUCGACAUGGAUCUUGUGGCAUCCUUCCGCAGGAGGUGACCACCUUAUUCUCGAUCAGCUAACCACGUUGCUGCAGAUCUUCUUACUGGGAUUAUUGAAAGAUCGCUCAGGUAGCUACUCCCUCCGUCCUUGAAAGAGUGUACUUCGAACUUUUGUUGGAGAGUCAAACUAUCUCAAAGUUUGACCGAAUUUGUACAAAAAUAUAUCAAUGUUUGUGAAACCAACUAGGUAUAUGAUGGAAAUAUAUUUUAUCAUUAAUGUAGUGAUACUAAUUUGAUGGCAUAAGUGUUUGAUGUAUUAGUGUAUAAAUACGGUCAAACAUAAAAAAGUUUGACUUUCCAACAAAGUUGGAAGUACACUCUUUUAAGGACGGAGGGACUAUGUAUGACGCUGGCCAUAGCAUGAGGAGAUUGGAAAUGCUCCUUGUGAAUAGCACGAUGUCGAACCCACCAGAUUGGCCACGUCGUUAUAAGGACUAUGAUGAACUCAUCCUCCUUCAUUGCAUCCUUCAUCUGCAGUAACCAAACUCUUGUAUCAUUGGUUCUGCACUCAAUUAGUACAUCCACAAUAUGUUGGGGAACUUUAGCUCACAGGUUCCCCUCUAUCGAAUGAUUCGUUCGCUAGAGGAGGACAGAACCAACCGAUUUGGCCUCUUGGGGCUUUCGCUCUAGUGGGUUACCAAGCGAGCCCCAAUUGGGCCAAAGGCAUGUUUAACUAUUUUUCCUUUAAAUGCCAUUCACCAAAAUAAUAUACAGUACAAGGUAGAGACACAUAAAUUUACAAACUUGCCAAGAUCUAAAAUUUAAAAGUUGCCAUGCAAUAAAUAAAAAUCUGCCCAACCAGUAAAUUUACAAUUAUAUAUAUAAUAAAAAAUUGUCAUGUUAUCGAAAAAAAUAAAAAUGCCAUGCUGAUUUGAGAACAAAAAGAAUAAUCCAAUGGCAACUUUAGCAGAAAUAAAUGUUUAUCUAGAACAAGCAGAACAUAUAAAUAAUAGGGGCGAUUGACAUGUCAGACUAAGAAGAAUUUGGCCUCUCUAAAAACAUGGCAAUUAACAAAAAGUCAUGUUCUAAUUAAUAAAAAAGUGCAAUUCUGCCUACAAAUAAACUACCCAUGAUCUAAAAUGUAAAAAUGCCAUGGUACCUACGAAUGAACUACCACUAGUUAAUAAAAUUGCCAUGUUGUAAAAUAAUAAAAUUGCCAUAUUCGAAUUAAUAUAAGUGCCGAUGCCUGUAAUAAAGCUACCAAGGUCCAAUAAAUGAAGUUGCCAUGGUCUACAUACUAUGCUUGCCAUCGACUAAAAAAAUUGAAAUUGCCAUACUACAUACAACAAAACUACCAUGGUCUGAUUUAUAAGAAUUGCCAUGGCCUAAUUAUAUAAAAGUGGCAUGUUGCCUAUAAUAAAGAUACCAAUAAAGUAACAUGGCCUACAUGUUAAACUUGCCAUUAUCUAAGGAAGUAAAAAUGUCAUGGGCUAAUUUAUAAAAUUGCCAUGGUCUAACUAAUAAAAAGUGCCAUAAUUCCUAUAGUGAAAUUUCACAAGGUCUAAAUUAAUAAGCCAUGCUUAUUAUAAUAAAAAUGCCAUGCUCUUGAAAAUAAAAGUACCAUGCUUGUACAAAAAAGACAUGAUGUACAUAAAUAAUGCCAUGGUCUUCAAAAUAAAAUGGCGUGCUCUUUAAAAAAAAUGGUGCGCAAAAAAUGCCAUCCAACGCAAACAAACUACCAUUGCCUAACUAAAUAAAAUUGCCAUCGUAUGAAUAGUAAAAGUACCAUGUAAUAAAUCCAUGGCGUAAUUAAAUAAAUUGCCAUGAUUUAAAGAAAAUAAAUUUACCAUGUUACAUAACUUGAAAUUGCUAGGGUUUAAUUUAAAAAAUAUGAUCCUCUAACAAAAAAUUUGCCAUGGUACCUAAGGUAAAACUAACAUGAUCUAAAAAGGUAAAAAUGCAGUGGUCCAAAUAGUGAGAUUACCAUGCUGCCUAUGAUAAAUUUGCACAUGGCACUGCUAGCAUGAGUAAAAAAACAUUGUAUGAUCUUAUGAUGAUUAUCUACAUAAUUACAAUUAGAAACAAAUUGCCAUGGGGACAUUUACAAAAAUUUCAUGCAAAAAAUGUUGUAUGAAAACAUCCAUAAUAACUAGGCCAUGAUCUAAAGCAAAAAUUGCCAAUGUUACAUAAACUAAAAAUUGCCAUGGUCUAAUUUGGAAAAAUUGUCAUUCGCUAACUAAUAAAAAUGACAUGGCACCCAAAAAUAAAUCAAUAGUAGGAAUACCAUGGUCUGAUUGCUAAAAAUGACAUGGUGCCUAUAAUAAACAUGCUUAAGAACAUGGCAAUUUUUCAUGUAUAACUGAAUGUACAUUUUGCCAUGCCAAAAAUGUAUAAUUUGGCAUGUACAGUUUGUUAAUUAAUUUAUCAUGUAUAACGAAAAUUGCAUUCCACAUUGCCAUUUUGUGAGAAGGCGUGGGAAUUUGUCUGAAUAGUUUUGUCGUGUGGCAUCAAUGGUGAUUAUAAACCAAGAAAAUGCGAGAAAUGUUGUGGAACAAGUACUGAUGGAGUUGCCCAUGGGUUAAUUUUUGCAUGAACUAGUGCAAAACACCAAACGUUUUUGGGCUAGAACGUGAACAUAGAAAAAAUGAAAACAAAACUGCUAGAGCUGCAAUUCUUACAGGCGUCGAGUAUAACUACCAGUCUACCUACAAUAAUAAAAAGUGUCAUGCUACCUACAAUAAAACUACCAUGGUCUAAAUAGUAAAAAUGCCAUAACCUAACAAAUAAAAGUGCCACACUAGCUUAGUCAUGUCGACAUGGCAAAAAUAAGGAACUUUGUUCUUUUGGACAAAGAUGGCAAAUUUAGAGAAAUCAAAACAACUUGUUUCACACGGCAAUGUGGAGGGGACAAAAUUCUAAAAAGAGCUUUGUAAGGGGCAUUAUAUAAGAAUUGCCCAUGAGGCAAACCAUAUGACAUGCACAUUAGCCAUAGGAACACACAAUUUUGUGUUGACGAUUCAAAGAAAUAAACAUGCUUUAAUGUAAAUGUACAUGGAGAAAAAGUACCUUAAAAUUGUCAAUGGCAAAAUCUUACCAGGAGGCAAGCAUUGUUGUGCAUGGCAAAAAGUAACUUAAAUUUGCCAAUGGCAAAAUCUGGAAACGGGCAAAACAUUAUUGUGCAUGGCAAAAAGUAACUUAAAUUUGUCAUUCAUUUGUUCAAAAUAAAAAUUGUAAUCAUAUUUAACAAUAAAUUUGUCCACAAAAAUCCUUGCAAACAAAUAAAUCAAAGACAAACUAUCAUGGUGUCCAUUCCUACAUAGUACAAAAUUGCCAUGUACAUUUGUGCCUAGAAUAACCAAGCUACAUAAGAUAGAUUUGCCACAUGUUCAAUAAUUUUCAUGGUAUAUACAAAUUAAAAAAUGCCAUGGUACAUACAAAAUUUGUCAUAGAAUAUAAAAUAAAAAUGCCAUCGUUCAUAGUUUUUUUUUGCCAUGGCACAAAAAUGAAAAAUAACAUAGUAGAGUGAAUUUGCCAUGAAAUCUAAAACUAGAUGGGAUGAUGCAUUAGCUGUCAGCACACAAAAACUAGGUGGAAACUACUAUAUGAAUUAGUUCUGCUCACUCCAAAAACUACUUAGCAAAAAGAGCAUCUCCCUGCCGAUCCGAAUCUUUCAAAAAUUUGAGUACCAUGUAGAUAGCCAUGAAGAGCCCAGCGAACUUCAUCUCUCUGCCGGCAAACCGCCGCUCCACAACUUGCUUCUCCUCCCGGUGCUACUUGUGAGUUGCGUUGGGAUUUCCUCGAAGAGAAGAGGAUGAUGCAAUACAGUAGAGAUAAGUAUUUCCCUCAGUUAAGAACCAAGGUUAUCAAUCCAGUAGGAGAACCACGCGGAACCUCGUUAGCAGUACAUGCACACACAAAAGCAAAUACUUGCACCCAACGCGGUCAUGGGGGUUGUCAAUCCCCUCGACGAUUAUUUGCAAGGAUCAAAUCUCGUAGUGGUAGAUAGAUAAAAUAAAAACACAUAAUAAAAAAACGAUAAUAAAAUUGUAGCCAGGUAUUUUUGAAUUUAUAUAUGAUAAAAGUAGACCCGGGGGUCAUAGUUUUCACUAGAGGCUUCUCUCUCAAACAAAAAGCAUACGAUGUGUAAACAAAUUACUGUUGGGCAAUGCGCAUACUUAUGACUAUAUUUAAGGCAAUGAUCAUGUAUAUAGGCAUCACGUGUGAGACAAGUAGAGCGACUCCUGCUUGCAUCUAAUACUAUUACUCCACCCAUCGACCACUAUCUAGCAUGCAUCUAGGGUAUUAAGUCAUAAAAACAGAGUAACGCCUUAAGCAAGAUGACAUGAUGUAGCCAAAGUAAAUCCAACCAAAAUGAAUAAACCUCGUCAUUUUAUCCUUAGUGGCAACAAUACAAAUAUGUGUCCUUUCCCCUACUUUGUCAAUGGGAUGGAGCACCGCAAGAUUGAACCCAUCACAAAGCACCUCUCCCAUUGCAAGAUAAAUCAAUAUAGUUGGCCAAAUCAAACAGAUAGAUUAGAGAGAAAUACAAAGCUAUAACAAUCAUGCAUAAAAGAAUUCAGGAAAGACUCAAAUAUUUCUCAUGAAUAAUGUGAUCAUAAACCCUCAAUUCAUCCGAUCCCAACAAACACACCGCAAAAGAAGAUUACAUCGAAUAGAUCUCCAAGAACAUCGAGGAGAACAUUGUAUUGAAGAUCAAAGAAAGAGAGAAGAAGCCAUCUAGCUACUAGCUAUGGACCCGUUGGUCCGUGAUAAACUAUUCACGCAUCAUCGGAAGGGCAGCAAGGUUGAUGUAGAACCCCUCUAUGAUCGAUUCCCCCUCCGGCAGAGUAUCGGAAAAGGCCUGCAGAUGGGAUCGCGAAAGAAUAGAGACUUGCGGCGGCGAAAAAAGUGUUUUGGGUGGCUCCCUGAUAUAUUGGGAAUAUUUGAGAAUUUAUAGAGGUGGAAUUAGGCCAAGAUGUACCAUGAGGGGCCCACAAGCCUGGGGGCGCACCUGGCGAGCUUGUCGCUCCCUCGUGACCCGUAUGGUCUUCUUCCGAACCUUCUAGGGUCUCUCUGGAUCCAGAAAAAUCGUCAAAAAGUUUUGUAGUGUUUGGACUCCGUCUGGUACUGAUUUCCUGAAAAGCGAAAAACAAACCAAAAAACAACAACUGGCACUGGGCACUAUGUUAAUAGGUUAGUUCCAAAAAAAUGAUAUAUAAUUACAUGUAAAACAUCCAAGAUUGAUACUAUAAUAGCAUGGAGCAAUAAAAAUUAUAGAUACAUUGAAGAAGUAUCACCCGGCAACGAGCAACCUCCACCACACACAUCUCCGUCAGCCGCCAGGGGCCAUGGAGCCCGAGCGCACAAAGACUCCCCACGACUACCCGCCAUCGCUCCGCUCGGCUGUGUCACCAUCACUAGCGAGCCCAUGCAUGACGUUCCUCCCUAUUUUUCCCUAUCCUUCCUCGCGCCCUCCUCUCUCCUCGCAACCUCAACUCCUUAUACAAGCUAGCCCAAGCGGACAACUAUGGCAGCCACCUGGUCGUGCCCCGCGUCGGUUUGUCGCCCAACACCUGGUGACCUCCCGGGAGCCAUACAACCCAACCUCGGUGCCGACCACCAGGGUAUAGAAGAGCAUAAUGAAAAGGGUGAGCAGGAGCAGCGCAAGGCGGCGGAGGUCCACGCUGACCUCCCGUGUUGUCGCGUCGAAGACACCAGCGGGACUCAGCUCGUCGCUGGAGCAGAGCCAGGGAGUGGAGGUCCCUGAUACGUCCAUUUUGCAUCAUGCUUUUAUAUCAAUAUUUAUUGCAUUAUGGGCUGUUAUUACACAUUAUGUCACAAUACUUAUGCCUAUUCUCUCUUAUUUUACAAGGUUUACAUAAGGAGGGAGAAUGCCGGCAGCUGGAAUUCUGGGCUGGAAAAGGAGCAAAUAUUAGAGACCUAUUCUGCACAACUCCAAAAGUCCUCAAACUCCACGAAAGUCAUUUUUGGAAAUAAUAAAAAAUAUUGAGCGGAAGAAAUACCAAAGGGGGCCCACACCCUGGCCACGAGGGUGGGGGCGCGCCCUACCCCCCUGGGCGCGCCCCCUGCCUCGUGGGCCCCCUGUUGGCCCUCCGGUGCCCAUCUUCUACUAUAUGAAGUCUUUCGUCCGAAGAAAAAUCAUAAGCAACCUUUCGGGACGAGACUCCGCCGCCACGAGGCGGAACCUUGGCGGAACCAAUCUAGGACUCUGGCAGAGCUGUUCUGCCGGCGACACUUCCCUCCGGGAGGGGGAAAUCAUCGCCAUCGUCAUCACCAACGCUCCUCUCAUCGGGAGAGGGCAAUCUCCAUCAACAUCUUCACCAGCACCAUCUCCUCUCAAACCCUAGUUCAUCUCUUGUAUCCAAUUCUUGUCUCUAAGUCUGGGAUUGGUACCUAUAGGUUGCUAGUAGUGUUGAUUACUCCUUGUAGUUGAUGCUAGUUGGUUUAUUUGGUGGAAGAUCAUAUGUUCAGAUCCUAUAUGCAUAUUAAUACCCCUCUGAUUAUGAACAUGAAUAUGCUUUGUGAGUAGUUACGUUUGUUCAUGAGGACAUGGGAGAAGUCUUGCUAUUAGUAGACAUGUGAAUUUGGUAUUCGUUCGAUAUUUUGAUGAGAUGUAUGUUGUCUCUCCUCUAGUGGUGUUAUGUGAACGUCGACUACAUGACACUUCACCAUUAUUUGGGCCUAGAGUAAGGCAUUGGGAAGUAAUAAGUAGAUGAUGAGUUGCUAGAGUGACAGAAGCUUAAACCCUAGUUUAUGCGUUGCUUCGUAAGGGGCUGAUUUGGAUCCAUAUGUUUCAUGCUAUGGUUAGGUUUACCUUAGUACUUCUUUUGUAGUUGCGGAUGCUUGCAAUAGGAGUUAAUCAUAAGUGGGAUGCUUGUUCAAGUAAGAACAGCACCCAAGCACCGGUCCACCCACAUAUCAAAUUAUCAAAGUACCGAACGCGAAUCAUAUGAACGUGAUGAAAACUAGCUUGACGAUAAUUCCCAUGUGUCCUCGGGAGCGCUUUUCUCUAUAUAAGAGUUUGUCCAGGCUUUUCCUUUGCUACAGAAAGGAUUGGGCCACCUUGCUGCACUUUAUUUACUUUUGUUACUUGUUGCUCGUUAAAAAUUAUCUUAUCACAAAACUAUCUGUUACCUAUAAUUUCAGUGUUUGCAGAGAAUACCUUGCUGAAAACCGCUUAUCAUUUCCUUCUGCUCCUCGUUGGGUUCGACACUCUUACUUAUCGAAAGGACUAUGAUAGAUCCCCUAUACUUGUGGGUCAUCAAGACUCUUUUCUGGCGCCGUUGCCGGGGAGUGAAGCGCCUUUGGUAGGUGGAAUUUGGUAAGGAAAAAUUUAUAUGGUGUGCUGAAAUUUACCGUCACUUGUUACUAUGGAAAGUAAUCCUCUGAUGGGCUUGUUCGGGGUAUCUUCACCCCGACCAGUAGAGUAAAGAGUUGCUCCUCAACCUACUGAACCUACUGAAAAUGAAAAUGUCUACUUUGAAAUUCCUUCGGGUAUGUUAGAAAAACUGCUAGCUAAUCCUUUUGCAGGAGACGGAACAAUGCAUCCUGAUGAGCACCUAAUCUAUGUGGAUGAAGUUUGUGGAUUAUUUAAGCUUGUAGGUAUACCCAAUGAUGUUAUUAAGAAGAAGGUCUUCCCUUUAUCUUUGAAGGGAGAUGCAUUGACAUGGUAUAGGCUAUGUGAUGAUAUGGGAUCAUGGAACUACAAACGAUUGAAAUUGGAAUUUCAUCAGAAGUUUUAUCCUAUGCAUCUUGUUCAUCGUGAUCGCAAUUAUAUAUAUAAUUUCUGGCCUCGCGAAGGAGAAAGCAGCGCUCAAGCUUGGGGGAGGCUUAAAUCAAUGUUAUAUUCAUGCCCCAAUCAUGAGCUCCCAAGAGAGAUAAUUAUUCAAAAAAAUUAUGCUCGGCUUUCUGAUAACAAUCACACCAUGCUCGAUACUUCUUGUGCUGGCUCUUUUAUGAUGAAGACUAUUGAAUUCAAAUGGGAUUUAUUGGAAAGAAUUAAAUGCAACUCUGAAUAUUGGGAUCUCGACGAAGGUAAGGAGUCAGGUGUGACACCUAAGUUUGAUUGUGUUAAAUCUUUUAUGGAUACCGAUGUUUUCCGUAAAUUUAGCACUAAAUAUGGACUUGACUCUGAGAUAGUAGCUUCUUUCUGUGAAUCUUUUGCUGCUUACGUUGAUCUCCCUAAGGAGAAGUGGUUUAAAUAUCAUCCUCCCAUAGAAGUAAAAGUAGUUGCAACUAUUAAAGUUGAAGAAAAGACUAUCACUUAUAAUGAUCCUAUUGUUCCUACCGCUUAUGUUGAGAAACCACCUUUCCCUGUUAGAAUAAAGGAUCAUGCUAAAGCUUCGUAAAAGCAAUAUUAGAACUUAUACACCCCCUGAGAAAGUUAAAGUUGAACCUAAUAUUGCUAUUGUUAAAGAUCUCUUGUCUGAUAAUAUUGAUGGGCAUGUUAUUUAUUUCUGUGAUGAAACUGCUAGAAUUGCUAAACCUUGUGCUAAAGAUAAACAUAGACCGGUGGUAGGCAUGCCUGUUAUCUCUAUUAAAAUAGGAGAUCAUUGUUAUCAUGGCUUAUGUGAUAUGGGUGCCAGUGCUAGUGCUAUACCUCAUGACUUAUACAAAGAAAUUAUGCAUGAUAUUGCACCUGCUGAGAUAGAAGAUAUUGAUGUUACCAUUAAGCUUGCCAAUAGAGAUACCAUAUCACCCAUUGGAAUUGUUAGAGAUGUUGAAGUCUUGUGUGGGAAAACUAAAUAUCCUGCUGAUUUUCUUGUUCUUGGUUCCUCACAAGAUAGCUUUUGUCCCAUUAUAUUUGGUAGACCCUUCUUGAACACUGUUAAUGCUAAGAUAGACUGCGAAAAGGAUGUUGUUACUAUUGGUUUGGGUGAUAUGUCUCAUGAGUUUAAUUUCUCUAAAUUUCGUAGACAACACCAUGAAGAGGAAUUUCCUAGUAUGGAUGAAAUUAUUGGUCUUGCUUCUAUUGCCGUACCUCCUAAUGAUCCUUUGGAACAAUAUUUGCUAGACCAUGAAAAUGAUAUGUUUAUGAAUGAAAGAAGGGAAAUAGAUGAAGUAUUCUUUAAACAGGAACCCAUCCUAAAACACAAUUUGCCUGUUGAAAUCCUAGGGAUCCUCCUCCACCCAAGGGUGAUCCCGUGUUUGAGCUUAAACCGUUACCUGAUACUCUUAAAUAUGCUUAUAUUGAUGAGAAAAAGAUAUAUCCUGUUAUUAUUAGUGCUAACCCUUCAGAGCAUGAAGAAGAGAGAUUGUUGAAAACUCUGAAGAAGCACCGCGCUGCUAUUGGAUAUACUCUUGAUGAUCUUAAGGGCAUUAGUCCCACUCUAUGUCAACAUAAAAUAAAUUUGGAGAAAGAUGCCAAACUAGUUCGUGAUCACCAACGACGGCUGAAUCCUAAGAUGAAAGAAGUGGUAAGAAAGGAAAUACUAAAGCUCCUUGAGGCAAGUAUAAUUUAUCCCGUUGCUGAUAGUCAGUGGGUAAGUCAUGUCCAUUGUGUCCCUAAGAAGGGAGGUAUUACUGUCGUUCCUAAUGAUAAAGAUGAAUUGAUCCCGCAAAGAAUUAUUACAGGUUAUAGGAUGGUAAUUGAUUUCCGCAAAUUAAAUAAGGCUACUAAAAAAGAUCAUUACCCCUUACCUUUUUAUAAAUCAAAUGCUAGAAAGAUUAUCCAAACAUACACAUUUUUGCUUUCUAGAUGGUUAUUCUGGUUUCUCUCAAAUACCUGUGUCAGCCGAUGAUCAAUCAAAGACCACUUUUACCUGCCCUUUCGGUACUUUUGCUUAUAGAUGUAUGCCUUUUGGUUUAUGUAAUGCACCUGCCACCUUUCAAAGAUGCAUGAUGGCUAUAUUCUCUGACUUUUGUGAAAAGAUUUGUGAGGUUUUUAUGGACGAUUUCUCCGUCUAUGGAUCCUCUUUUGAUGAUUGCUUGAGCAACCUUGAUCGAGUUUUGCAAAGAUGUGAAGAAACUAAUCUUGUCUUGAAUUGGGAAAAGUGCCACUUUAUGGUUAAUGAAGGUAUUGUCUUGGGGCAUAAAAUUUCUGAAAGAGGUAUUGAAGUUGAUAAAGCCAAGGUUGAUGCUAUUGAAAAGAUGCCAUGUCCCAAGGACAUUAAAUGUAUAAGAAGUUUCCUUGGUCAUGCCGGUUUUUAUAGGAGGUUCAUUAAGGACUUCUCAAAAAUUUCUCGGCCUCUGACUAAUUUAUUACAAAAAGAUAUACCAUUUGUCUUUGAUGAUGAUUGUGUAGAAGCAUUUGAAAUACUUAAGAAAGCAUUGAUCUCUGCACCCAUUGUUCAACCACCUGAUUGGAAUUUACCCUUUGAAAUCAUGUGUGAUGCUAGUGAUUAUGCUGUAGGUGCUGUUCUAGGGCAAAGAGUUGAUAAGAAAUUAAAUGUUAUUCAAUAUGCUAGUAAAACUCUAGACAAUGCUUAGAGAAAUUAUGCUACUACUGAAAAAGAAUUCUUAGCAGUUGUAUUUGCUUGUGAUAAGUUCAGACCUUAUAUUGUUGAUUCUAAAGUAACUAUUCACACUGAUCAUGCUACUAUUAAAUAUCUUAUGGAAAAUAAAGAUGCUAAACCUAGACUUAUUAGAUGGGUUCUCUUGCUACAAGAAUUUGAUUUGCAUAUUAUUGAUAGAAAGGGAGCUGAGAACCCCGUUGCAGACAACUUGUCUAGGUUAGAGAAUGUUCUUGAUGACCCACUACCUAUUGAUGACAGCUUUCCUGAUGAACAAUUAAAUGUCAUAAAUGCCUCUCGUACUACUCCAUGGUAUGCUGAUUAUGCUAAUUACAUCGUUGCUUAAUUCAUACCACCUAGUUUCACAUACCAACAAAAGAAAAAGUUUUUCUAUGAUUUAAGACAUUACUUCUGGGAUGACCCACAUCUUUAUAAAGAAGGAGUAGAUGGUGUUAUUAGACGUUGUGUACCUGAGCAUGAACAGGAACAGAUCCUACGCAAGUGUCACUCCGAGGCUUAUGGAGGACACCACGCUGGAGACAGAACUGCACAUAAGGUAUUGCAAUCCGGUUUUUAUUGGCCUACUCUCUUCAAGGAUGCCCGUAAGUUUGUUUUAUCUUGUGAUGAGUGUCAAAGAAUUGGUAAUAUCAGUAGACGUCAAGAAAUGCCUAUGAAUUAUUCACUUGUUAUCGAACCAUUUGAUGUUUGGGGCUUUGAUUAUAUGGGACCUUUUCCUGCCUCCAAUGGAUACACACAUAUUUUAGUUGCUGUUGAUUACGUUACUAAGUGGGUAGAAGCUAUUCCAACUAGUAGUGUUGAUCAUAACACUUCUAUUAAGAUGCUUAAAGAAGUUAUUUUUCCGAGGUUUGGAGUCCCUAGAUAUUUAAUGACUGAUGGUGGUUCACAUUUUAUUCAUGGUGCUUUCCGAAAAAUGCUUGCUAAAUAUGAUGUUAAUCAUAGAAUUGCAUCUCCUUAUCACCCGCAGUCUAGUGGUCAAGUAGAAUUGAGUAAUAGAGAGCUUAAAUUAAUUUUGCAAAAGACUAUUAAUAGAUCUAGAAAGAAUUGGUCCAAGAAACUUGAUGAUGCAUUAUGGGCCUACAGAACUGCAUAUAAAAAUCCUAUGGGUAUGUCUCCGUAUAAAAUGGUUUAUGGAAAAGCAUGUCACUUACCUCUCGAACUAGAACAUAAGGCUUAUUGGGCUAUUAAAGAGCUCAACUAUGAUUUCAAACUUGCCGAUGAGAAGAGGUUAUUUGACAUUAGCCCACUUGAUGAAUGGAGAACCCAAGCCUAUGAAAAUUCCAAGUUGCUUAAAGAAAAAGUUAAAAGAUGGCAUGACAAAAGAAUACAAAAGCGUGAGUUUAAUGUAGGUGAUUAUGUAUUGCUAUACAACUCUCGUUUAAGAUUUUUUGCAGGAGAACUUCUCUCUAAAUGGGAAGGUCCUUACGUUAUCGAGGAGGUCUAUCGUUCCGGUGCCAUAAAAAUCAACAACUUCGAAGGCACAAAUCCGAAGGUGGUAAAUGGUCAAAGAAUCAAACAUUAUAUCUCAGGUAAUCCUAUAAAAUGUUGAAACCAAUGUUAUUGAAACCGUAACCCCGGAGGAGUACAUAAGGGACACCUACCGGAAUGUUUCAGGCUCUGUAAAGGAAUAGGUAUGUGGUACGGUAAGUAAACCGACUCCAAAACAGUUCUAAUGGCAAUUUUUCUCCGUUUGGGAAUAUUUAGAAAAAUAGAAAAAUAAGAAGCAGUCCGGGAAGGACACGAGGCCUCCACGAGGGUGGAGGGCGCGCCCUACCCUACUGGGCGCGCCCCCUACCUCGUGGGCACCUCGUGUGCUCUCCGGACUCCGUUUUCUUGCACGAUACGUAUUUUGGUCGGUAAAAAUUCAUUAUAUAAUCUCCCGAAGAUUUUGACUCCUGUAUCACGCAAAUAUCCUCUGUUCUUGUUUCGAGCUGUUUUUCUGACAGAUCUAGAUCAUCAUGACGUCUCCAAGUGCCCCCAAGGACAAGUUCUUCGAGAAGGUCAUCAAUCCCUACCUCGCGGAGGUGCUGCAACACCCUCAAACCAUUGAGAUGCAUGAGGGGGUGCUACACAUCCGCGAUGUUGAGGGACCAAGGAAGACCGGAAGCGUGGAGACAAGGCUCGAGGCAAUGGGGCAACUAGUUUUCAAGUGCCAGGAGAUGGUGGAGCGUGGACUUGACUCCAAUCACAUGAUGAUCGCGGAGUUCACCAACAACCACAAGCUGGAUGCCAAGGACAUUGGGGAGGCCAUCUUCAAGCUCCACGAGAAAAUCGAGCACCUCCAAGCCCAAAUCUAUGACCUGCAAAACCAAAACUGUGAGUAUGAAUAUAGAUUCAAGAGAAUGAGUUUGGCUGCAGAUUUGAGGAUCCCGGAGACUCGAUCAUCCUUCUAUGAUGGUGAGCCCAUGCCUUGGAAGAGGGACGACAAGCCUGCUUCAUCAACAACCCCAUCACCACCACUUCUGAGGAAGGAGACAUAAUCACAUGGGUAUGGGUACACCCCUUGGCAACUGCCAAGCUUGGGGGAGAUGCCCCGGUAUCGUAUCACCAUCACACUCCUAUCUUUACCGUUUUUUCUUAGCUCGAUCCUAUUAGUAGUAUCUUGAUCUAGUAGAAUAAAGUUUUAGCAUGAUCUAGUUUUGAGUUUUGCUUUGUGAUCUUUCUAUGUAAUCGAGUCUGUGAGCUAUAUAUAUAAUAAAGAUUAAUGUUGAGUCAAGGGCUUGAUUGUCUUGCUAUGAUUUUGAGUGAAUAAAAGAAAGAGAAAAGAAUAAAAAGAAACAAAGAGAUCAUAUUGAUCUUAUGGAGAGUAAUGACUUCACAUAGAAAGAGUAUGAUGAUUAAAAGUUGUUGAGAGUUGACAGACAUAGCUUUGGUCAUCGUUGCAAUUAAUAGGAAGUAAUAAAGAAAGAGAGGUUCACAUAUAAAUAUACUAUCUUGGACAUCUUUUAUGAUUGUGAGCACUCAUUAAAAUAUGACAAGCUAAAGAGUUGAUGUUGGACAAGGAAGACAACGUAAUGGGUUAUGUUUUCUUAUAUCUGAGAUAAAGUAUAUUGUCAUGGAUCAUCCAACAUGUUGAGCUUGCCUUUCCCCCUCAUGCUAGCCAAAUUCUUUGCACCAAGUAGAGAUACUACUUGUGCUUCCCAAUACCGUUAAACCGGUUUUGCCAUGAGAGUCCACCAUAUCUACCUAUGGAUUGAGUAAGAUCCUUCAAGUAAGUUGUCAUCGGUGCAAGCAAUAAAAAUUGCUCUCUAAAUAUGUAUGAUUGAUUGGUGUGGAGGAAAUAAGCUUUAUACGAUCUUGUCAUGUGGAAGAAAUAAAAGCGACGGACUGCAUAAUAAAGGUUCAUAUCACAAGUGGCAAUAUAAAGUGACGUUAUUUCGCAUUAAGAUUUUGUGCAUCCAACCCUGAAAGCGCAUGGCAACCUCUGCUUCCCUCUGCGAAGGGCCUAUCUUUUAUUAUUAUCUUCUACCUUAUGCAAGAGUCAUGGUGAUCUUCACCUUUCCUUUUUACAUUUUAUCCUUUGGCAAGCAUAGUAUGUUGGUAAGAUCCUGAUAUAUAUAUAUAUAUAUAUAUAUAUAUAUAUAUAUAUAUAUAUAUAUAUAUAAAUAAUUGGAUGUAAGUUAGCAUGAACUAUUAUUGUUGACAUUACCCUUGAGGUAAAAGGUUGGGAGGCGGAACUAUAAGCCCCUAUCUUUCUCUGUGUCCGAUUAAAACUUCGUAACCACAAGUAUUGCGUGACUGUUAGCAAUUGUGAAAGACUAAAUGAUAGUUGAGUAUGUGGACUUGCUAAAAGCUCUGACAUAGACUCUUUCUGAUGUUAUGAUAAAUUGCAAUUGCUUCAAUGACUGAGAUUAUAGUUUGUUAGUUCUCAAUAAAGUUUCUGAUUCAUACUUUGCAUUGUGAAUAGAUUAUUACUUGAGCAUAAGAAAUCAUAUGACAAUAUCCAUAUAUGUUGUUGUUAUGAAAAUAAUCAUGAUGCCCUCAUGUCCGUAUUUUAUUUUAUCAACACCUCUACCUCUAAACAUGUGGACAUUUUAUCGUUAUCGGCUUCCGCUUGAGGACAAGCGAGGUCUAAGCUUGGGGGAGUUGAUACGUCCAUUUUGCAUCAUGCUUUAUAUCAAUAUUUAUUACAUUGUGGGUUGUUAUUACACAUUAUGUCACAAUACUUAUGCCUAUUCUCUCUUAUUUUACAAGGUUUACAUAAGGAGGGAGAAUGCCGACAGCUGGAAUUCUGGGCUGGAAAAGGAGCAAAUAUUAGAGACCUAUUCUGCACAACUCCAAAAGUCCUCAAACUCCACGAAAGUCAUUUUUGGAAAUAAUAAAAAAUAUUGAGCGGAAGAAAUACCAAAGGGGGCCCACACCCUGGCCACGAGGGUGGGGGGCGCGCCCUACCCCCCUGGGCGCGCCCCCUGCCUCGUGGGCCCCCUGUUGUCCCUCCGGUGCCCAUCUUCUGCUAUAUGAAGUCUUCCGUCCGAAGAAAAAUCAUAAGCAAGCUUUCGGGACGAGACUCCGCCGCCACGAGGCGGAACCUUGGCGGAACCAAUCUAGGGCUCCGGCAGAGCUGUUCUGCCGGGGACACUUCCCUCCGGGAGGGGGAAAUCAUCGUCAUCGUCAUCACCAACGCUCCUCUCAUCGGGAGAGGGCAAUCUCCAUCAACAUCUUCAGCAACACCAUCUCCUCUCAAACCCUAGUUCAUCUCUUGUAUCCAAUUCUUGUCUCUAAGUCUGGGAUUGGUACCUGUAGGUUGCUAGUAGUGUUGAUUACUCCUUGUAGUUGAUGCUAGUUGGUUUAUUUGGUGGAAGAUCAUAUGUUCAGAUCCUAUAUGCAUAUUAAUGUCCCUAUGAUUAUGAACAUGAAUAUGCUUUGUGAGUAGUUACGUUGUUCCUGAGGACAUGGGAGAAGUCUUGCUAUUAGUAGUCAUGUGAAUUUGGUAUUCGUUCGAUAUUUUGAUGAGAUGUAUGUGGUCUCUCCUCUAGUGGUGUUAUGUGAACGUCGACUACAUGACACUUCACCAUUAUUUGGGCCUAGAGGAAGGCAUUGGGAAGUAAUAAGUAGAUGAUGGGUUGCUAGAGUGACAGAAGCUUAAACCCUAGCUUAUGCGUUGCUUCAUAAGGGACUGAUUUGGAUCCAUAUGUUUCAUGCUAUGGUUAGGUUUACCUUAAUACUUCUUUUGUAGUUGCGGAUGCUUGCAAUAGGAGUUAAGCAUAAGUGGGAUGCUUGUUCAAGUAAGAACAGCACCCAAGCACCAGUCCACCCACAUAUCAAAUUAUCAAAGUACCGAACGCGAAUCAUAUGAACGUGAUGAAAACUAGCUUGACGAUAAUUCCCAUGUGUCCUCGGGAGCGCUUUUCUCUAUAUAAGAGUUUGUCCAGGCUUGUCCUUUGCUACAAAAAGGAUUGGGCCACCUUGCUGCACUUUAUUUACUUUUGUUACUUGUUGCUCGUUACAAAUUAUCUUAUCACAAAACUAUCUGUUACCUAUAAUUUCAGUGUUUGCAGAGAAUACCUUGCUGAAAACCGCUUAUCAUUUCCUUCUGCUCCUUGUUGGGUUCGACACUCUUACUUAUCGAAAGGACUACGAUAGAUCCCCUAUACUUGUGGAUCAUCAGUCCCUGCUGAUCUCCCGCGUCGAAGAGACCAGCGGGACCGUGCUCGUCACCGGGGUUGGAUAGCUGGCUCCCUUAUCACUAUCUGCGGACCAGCCCCAGACAAAUACAGUGUCUAUUUUGGGGGUCAGCGUUGGAGAUGUCCUUGUAAUACCAACUUAUCUUUGUGGGUAUGCAUUUGGAUGUGCAAACAUUAAUUGCAUCCAUAUCCUUUUACAGUAUCAAUUAAUUUCUCCAACUCAUUUCAUUGUUUUUUUACUAUAAUACUAUCAUCACGCUUGCAUGCAACCUGUCUCCUCCUUGAGGCCACCGCAUGCUAAUUUCAUUUUGUAUAAAUUGUAGUGGACCGUUGUACAGUAACCAUAAAGACAACCUAGGCCUAGUGACAGGAGGUAAGAUGUAAGGAUGACAAACCAAUAACCAUGUCAACAAGACAGGAAAAGGUACAACUAGCUACAUAAAAUUAGUUGAUUCUUCCUACAAUUUGUAUGAAGUUUUUGGCUUUCACUGUUGUUCAAAUAUAUUACUAAUAUAUGAAUAUCCAAGCACACGUUAUUUGAAAUAUCGACUCAUCCUUUGUUGGUUCCCGCGUAAUUUAAGAUACUCUUUGUUCCAAAUAAAUCUUUCUUUACGAUUCUAACGUACAAUAAUUUCCAUUAUACUUAUUUGAAUGGAAGUUUUAAGAAUAAGUUGCGCAACGAUUUGGAGAAAAUUUUCCAUUUACUAUUUUAAUCUACAAUAAUUUUUGUUAUAUGGCUCAUGGAUUCUUAUAUUCUCUAGUCUAAUCAAAUACAUCUCAUCACCAAUUUUAUGGUUUUCAAUCAUUGCAAUCAUGCCUUGGUUCUACUCCCAUGUUUUUUUGAAAUCAUGUGAAUCAUGGAGGCCUUGAAUAUAGUCGUUCGAGACAGCUUUAAGUAGGUAUGAAAAUUAUUAGAUUGUAGAUAUGAAAUAGUCUAGAGUUAAAUUUUGCCAUAUUUUCUUAGAUCAUGGAUCUGUUAUAAAAAUGUUAGUGGAUACUUUAUUCUUAGAUUUCUCAACCUGACUAGAUCAUAAUCUAAAAAAUCGUGAUAGAGGACUAAAACAUGAAUUAAUUGCUAGUGACGUAUGAAAAUAUGUUUUCUUAUCAUAUACACAUGACCAUGUCAUAUCUAAAUACUUAUCUAAAGAAAGUCAUAUCUAUCCGCAUAUACAUAUGGUUUCCAGUCAUACCAUAGUCAGUAGCAGAGGAUGAUACAUAUAUACAUGUAACAUAGUAUAACGCACAUGCAUGGCACGCAAGCAAGUCGAGGAAGGCAUGGACGUUUCGGGAAACAACCUAGAGGUUGGACCACAUCAUGCAAGAGGCGCCGUACCGAUGUACCCGCGUGUCAUGAUCCACCAAGAUGCCACGGAUCUCGUGGAUCAGUGUGUCAAGGAUUUCAUGGGGAUUUUCGCCAUGGAGACCCACGAGGAGCGUAGGAAGGAGAACCAGACAAAGAUGAGCGGCCUCCAAGUGACCAAAGCCAUGGACAAGCUCGGCUUCAACAACUACGUCGGCCCCUCACUGGGUACACACACCCCCUUAUCGUGAAGCUACGUGCUACGUGGGACGUGGCAACAAGCGAGCCAUGGCAUGCCAGCCGUCUGCAAUGGGGCAUAUGGCGCCACAGCCAUCCGACUCCACAUGGGGUCCACUGCCAUACAACAACAUGGCACAAGGAAAGUUGUCGGCGGUUGAUGUGACAAUGACAACAAAGGGCAAGGUACCACAUCCACUCAUUUUUGUGUUGGCUGUAAGGUCGUCGUACGGUGUACGGUGUAAGCUUGGGCGUCGAUGGCCGUUGUAAAGACAAUGACGGUGAGAGGGGUGGAACCAACACCACUAUGGUUGUUUGGCUUUAUGUUGGGUUAGCCACCUCUACUGUCUGAACACACACACCGCAGACACGAUUGUGUGGAGGUGGUUGAGCCAACACAAAGUCAAACAGCUAGUGGUGCUAGUUACAUCUCCCAUGUCGUCGUCACAGUGACCGACAGAGCCUGACCAUGCACCAUGACGUCGUACGACGGCGAUACACCCAACACAAAGAUGGGUGAUUGUGGUGGUGGCGUCUCCUCCGUUGUCGUCGUCACAUCGGCCACUAGCAACUGACCUUGCACCAUGAUGUCGUAUGAUGGUGGACCCAAUGCAGAGUCGAACGGCUGUGACAACGUCUGCACCAUUGCAGCUGGAUGCUACACCAUGGCUCACUUGUUUCCAUGUCCCGCGAAGCUCGUAGCCUCGCGAUACAGGUAGAGGUACUCAGUGAGGGGCCUUACAUAGUUGUUGAAGCCGAGCUUGUCCAUAUCUUUGAGCACUUGGAGGCCGCUCAUUUUCGUCUUGUUCUCCUUCCUGCGCUCCUCGUGGGCCACUAUGGCGGCAAUCACCAUGAAAUACUUGACACACUGGUCCACGAGGUCCAAGGUGUCUUGGUGGAUCAUAGUGCGAGGGUAAGAGGCAGUCCACCUAGCAUGAUGUGGUACAUCCUCCAACUUGCUGACCGAAAUGCUGAUGCCUUCCUCGACUUGCUUGCGUGUCAUGCAUGUGCGGUAUACUAUGUUACACGUAUAUAUGUAUUGUUCUCUACUACUGUAGACUAUGGUAUGACCCGAAAUCAUAUGUAUAUGCAUAUCAAUACAAAUUUUUCUUGAGGUAAGUAUGUAGAUAUGACAUGUAUAUAUGGUGGAAAAAAUAUUUGCAUACAUCACUGGCAAUUAACUCAUGUUUUAAUUUCCUAUCCUGAUUGUUUAGAUACUGUCGGAGUAAAUGGCCACGGGUAGCCUAACCGACUACCCCUGGCUCUUCAGAAAAUUUAUCAGGCCUUUGGGCCUUCAAGCACUCCAAGCAUUUGGGCCGCCUUCCCCAGCCGGCUACCACUAAAGCCGACUCCCGGAAGGCGACCCAGCCUCACCGACUCCAAGAAGCCGGCCAAGAAGGAUGCCGACUCCUAGAAGCCGGCCAAGACCACAACCACUCCUACAUAACGGCAACGUGACGGGGUGUGGCCACAGUGCGGCCCACGACCCCCAAAGCCCGAUGCGGGCAUGGCUACAGGAGGCCGUACGGGAGGGACGUCUCCCAUGCGGCUCGGCACUGUAGCCACGCUAGCCUCGACGUCAUCCACGACCCACUCCUGUACGGCCCAAGGGUUGCGGGCCCCUUCAGCCAGAGAGAGGCGUGAAGGCGGCCCGGCCUUUCCUAGUCGGCCAGGAGCAUAGCCGGCCUCCAGAAGCCGGCCACUCCCUUCCUCGAAGCAGGAGCCCCAUUAAGGAGACAAGACGAGGUGAGGCUACAGUGAUAGCCCCCGAGGCGGCCCACUGUAGACACGCUCACCUCGACAAAGCCCUCAUCAUCAGAGGCGCGGCUACAGUAAGCAGCCGCCGCCAAGACCCUAGGCGGUGGGACCGGCCUGUCGACCAAGUAGCCGGCAGCCGGCGGGACCCAGCAGCCGGCGGAGAAGCCGGCGAGCGUAGACACUGACGGCUGGGACCAGAUCCCAGUCGGAUUACCAUUGUAUCCCCGGGGGGUAGGCCUAUAUAAACCCCCCGAAGCACCCAUGCAAAGGGUUCGCUUCUGGGUUGGCCUCUGAGCAUAGUUGGCUUCUAGGUUAACACCCACGCAUAGCACACACACCAUAGAUAGAGAGAAGCAAGAGCUAGCCUUGUUCUUCUUCUCCCUUGAUCUCAACAGCUCUAGGAGCGAUUGUAGCUAUCCCUUAUCGAUCUAGUGAUCAUGCGGAGACCCCGCAGAGCAGGACUAGGGGUGUUAUCUCCUCAGAGAGCCCCGAACCUGGGUAAGAUUCGCUGGCGUGCAUGUCUUCGCCUCAUCCCGUUUCCGGGCACCGGCGACGUUUUAUUGGCUCCCACAAUGAUAAGCCAUCCCUUGGCAUAUGUCGCACCAACCACCCGACAUUUGGCGCCCACCAUGGGGCCAGGUGCACCGUCGUCCGGAGACCUGUUCUGGACGGGAACCCUCUUCCUUUCCCGCGAGCGCAGCCAGCCUGCUGCGCCCGAUGGCGUUUGCCCCGACGCGCUACAAGGCGUCGACGACGCCUGCGCAGCGAGCCGCCUCGCCGAUCUGCUUGGCGAGACUCGCAUCUCCGACGAGCCUGCGUCCGACGCAGGCACCGACUACCCCGAGAGCCGCCUCGUCAGCCUCCUCGACCAGCUUCACGUCUCCAGCGAGCCUGCUGCAGAUGUGAAGUCGGUCGGCUCCACCGAUCCGAUGCUCAUCGACUCCGACACCGCGUCGCUUGAUGCCUACCCCUCCGACGUGGUGGUCUUCGACGACCCCCUCCCUCGAGCUGACAUCGGCAGCAGCGCUGUCACCGAAGUGCUGGUCAUCAACCACGUCUCCAACUCGGGCGAGAAUGCCCGCGACGCUCAGCAAGCGGCGAUGCACGACCUCUCCGUCCCCAUCCCGGCCGACGCCGACGCCGAGACCCUGGAGGCACGCCGCCUUGCCCUCAUCGCGGAGGGCCAGAAGAUAGCCUCGAUGAGACGCCUCACCGAGGCCCACCAGCGCGAAGUCGACCGCGCCGCUUUCGGUACGCCACCGCCUAGCGGCCCGAGCCGAGCCGGCUUCGUCCAGAAGCGCGGCGCGGCCGUUGCCAGCAUGCUGGGCGCAGAUCGCCCCGUCUACGCCACCCCGCUCGAGAAUCUGCGAGCCGCUCAGGCGGCUGCAGAGGAGCUCAAUGGGCUGGGAGCCGAUGAGCUCCCCUACAUGACAAGACGGAUCCAGCAGCUGAUCGACGGGGCUGCAGAACGGCACGAAGCCGGCGCCCGUGCUGAUAGUCAUCCCCCGCGCCGGGAGCACGCAGCGACGUCUCGCUCGCCGACUGUGAGCGACGCGCGCCAGAAGAAAGACAAGGAGCCGGCUGCCAGCCGCAGCCGGACUCGCAUCACUAUCGAGCGCGACGCGGAUGGCCGCCCUCAGGCGGUUGAACACCAAGGAAACCUGCCUCCUCCCCCGCCUCAAAGAGAAAGACGCCUCACUCCGCCGUCCAUCACACAUCCGACUCUUGGCGACCGACUCGGCCGCCGAGAAGGAGUCGGCGAGAGUGACGCCCGCCACAGGAUCGACCGCCUUGCUCGAUCCUUGGCGUUAGAAGAAGAAGACGAUGUCGGCCCGCCAUGCUUUGGCCCCCGCAUCCGCGACGAGCCCUUCCCCAAAGGGUUCUCGCUCCCCCGAGACACACCUAAGUACAACGACUCGGUGAAGCCGGAAGAUUGGCUCAUCGACUACUCCACAGCCGUCAGCAUCGCCAACGGCAAUCGGCGCGUCGCCGUGAAGUAUGUCCCCUUGAUGCUGCAAGGCACGGCGCGCACAUGGCUCAACAGCCUCAAGCCCUACAGCAUCAACAGCUGGCUGGACUUCACCGAAGUUUUCGUCCGCAACUUCACCAGCACCUACAAGCGGCCUCCCAAGCCUCGCCAGCUCUCCCUCUGCGUCCAAGGGCCCAACGAGUCGACCCGCGACUACCUCACGCGAUGGGCCGAGCUCCGCAACUCCUGCGAGGGAGUGCACGAGGUCCAAGCCAUCGAGUAUUUCACCGUCGGGUGCCGAGAGGGCACCCUCCUCAAGCACCGACUCCUCUGCGACGAGCCGGCUACCCUCGAUGAGUUGCUGAUCACCGCCGACAAGUAUGCCACUGCCGACUCACUCCAUGAAGACCGAGCUCCGAGUGGACGCCUCGGGGAAAGUAGUUGCUCCAGCUCCCAAGACGCCGGCUGGCGACCCUAACCGGCGCCCCUACCAGAACGACCACAAGCGCAAGGGCCCCAUGCCGACUUCCUCCAGUCGGCAGGUGGCCACCAUUGAAGACGAGCAGCCCGAGGAGCGGCCCGCUCCCAAGAAGAAGGGUGGUCGGCCGCCCUGGCAGCCGUCCUUCUCCUACGAACAAGCACUCGAUGCUCCCUGCAAGUUCCACAGCGGCGCGAAGCCGUCCAACCAUACAACACGGAAAUGCCACUGGCUCACCCGCAUCACCAAGGGCGAAGGGAUGGUGCCGCCUCCGCCUCCCGGCCCGCCGCCUCCAGCUCCCCAGCAGCCGGCGGCCCGGCCGGCAGUCGGCGGCCCGGCCGACAGUCGGCGCCAUCCAAGACGAGUUCCCCGAAGCGCACGACGCCUAUGUCGUCUUCACAAGUCAAGUCGACGACAAGCGCAGCCGACGCCGGCAGCACCAAGAAGUAAACGCAGUCGCCUCUAGCACCGCCGAGUUCAUGCACUGGUCGGAAAAGCCCAUCAGCUGGAGCCAGGUUGACCACCCAGAGGUGAUGCCGCCUGGCUCCUAUGCUAUGGUCUUGGACGUCACCCUUGCGACGGAGAGGCGAGCUGCCAGAUUUUCCCGCGUCCUGAUAGACGGCGGAAGCAGUAUCAACAUACUGUACCGCGAUACCAUGGACAAGCUAAACAUCAAAGCAAAGCAGCUCAUGCCGAGCCGCACCGUCUUCCAUGGUAUCGUACCCGGCCUAUCUUGCUCUCCAAUCGGCAAGAUCAAAAUGGAUGUUCUCUUCGGAGACAAAGAUCACUUUCGCCGGGAAGCAAUAUGGUUCGAGGUGGUAGAUUUGAAGAGCCCCUAUCAUGCACUACUUGGCCGACCUGCUUUGGCCAAGUUCAUGGCUGUGCCCCACUAUGCCUACCUGAAGAUGAAGAUGCCUAGCUCGAAGGGGAUCAUCACGGUAGCCGGCGACUACAAGAAGUCCACCGAGUGUGCCAUGGCCAGCAGCCGGCUGGCCGAGUCCCUCGUGGUGGCAGAAGAGAAGAAGAUGUUGGAACGGGUUGUGGCCAUGGCCGGCAAGCAGCCGGCCUUGUCCCCCAGCCCCAAGGACUGUGAUGCGCAGGGCUCCUUCCAGCCUGCCAAAGAGACGAAGAAGAUACCUCUAGACCCGGAGCACCCGGAGAGGUUCGCCGUGAUUGGGGCAAACUUGGACAGUAAAUAGGAAGGCGAGCUCGCCGACUUCCUCCGUGAGAAUCGAGACAUCUUUGCAUGGUCCCCAAAGGACAUGCCGGGUGUCCCGAAGGAUUUCGCCGAGCACAAAUUACAUGUCCGAGCUGAUGCGAAGCCGGUCAGGCAACCCCUCCGCCGACUAUCAGAAGAGAAGCGAAGAAUCGUGGGAGAAGAGAUAGCCCGGCUCCUUGCAGCCGGCUUCAUCAUGGAAGUGUUCUUUCCAGAAUGGCUUGCCAAUCCAGUUCUGGUUUUGAAGAAGAAUAACAAGUGGCGCAUGUGUAUAGACUACACAAGUUUGAACAAGGCCUGCCCAAAGGAUCCGUUUGCUUUGCCACGGAUUGACCAAGUGAUAGACUCCACAGCCGGAUGCGAGCUGUUAAGUUUUUUGGAUGCAUACUCAGGGUAUCAUCAGAUCAAGUUGGACCCGGCUGACCGCCUGAAGACUGCCUUCAUCACACCCUUUGGAGCUUUCUGCUACCUGACGAUGACAUUCGGCUUGAGAAACGCCGGUGCCACUUUUCAGCGUUGCAUGCAGAAAUGUCUCUUGAAACAACUCGGCAGAAAUGCCCACGUCUACGUAGACGACAUUGUGGUGAAGACAGAGAAGCGCGGUACCUUGCUGGAAGACCUGAAGGAAAUAUUUGCCAACUUGCGCCGAUUCCAGAUCAAGCUCAACCCCGAGAAGUGCGUGUUCGGAGUGCCAGCCGGCCAGCUGCUAGGCUUCCUGGUCUCCGAACGCGGCAUUGAGUGCAACCCUGUCAAGAUCAAAGCCAUCGAGAGGAUGGAGAUUCCCACCAAGCUGCGAGAUGUGCAGAAGUUCACUGGCUGCUUAGCCUCCCUGAACCGUUUUAUCAGCCGACUAGGAGAGAAGGCUCUCCCCCUGUACCGACUCAUGAAGAAGUCCACUCACUUUGAGUGGAAUGAUCAAGCCGACCAAGCCUUCCAUGAGUUGAAGAAAACGUUGACCACUCCGCCUGUCCUGGCUGCGCCGACUGAGAAGGAGCCCAUGCUCCUCUACAUCGCCGCGACAAGCCGAGUCGUCAGCACUGUUGUUGUGGUCCAGCGCCCGGAAGAAGGCCGAGCCCAGCUGGUCUAGAGGUCGGUCUACUAUCUCAGCAAAGUACUGUCCAGCUCAAAGCAAAACUACCCGCACUACCAGAAGAUGUGCUAUGGGGUGUACUUCGCUGCCAAGAAAUUGAAGCCCUACUUCCAAGAGCACCCCAUCACGGUCGUGUGCACUGCCCCGCUCACCGAGAUCAUAGGCAGCCGGGAUGCAUCCAGCCGGGUGGCCAAAUGGGCCAUUGCCUUGGCGCCCUACACGAUUUUCUAUCAACCCCGCACCGCCAUCAAGUCGCAAGCAUUGGCCGACUUCCUCGUCGACUGGGCCGAGACCCAGUACUUACCGCCGGCUCCCGACUCUACCCAUUGGCGGAUGCACUUUGACGGGUCCAAGAUGCGCACCGGCUUGGGAGCCGGCAUCGUUCUCACCUCUCCCAAAGGUGACAAACUCAAGUACACGCUGCAGAUCCACUUCGCCGCCUCCAACAACGUGGCCGAGUACGAGGCGCUCGUACAUGGGCUCCGGCUAGCCGAAGAACUCGGCAUACGCCGGAUCCUGUGCUACGGCGACUCAGACUUGGUGGUCCAGCAAUCAUCUGGCGACUGGGACGCCAAGGAAGCAAACAUGGCAAGCUACCGUUUCCUCGUCCAGCAGAUGAGCGGAUACUUCGAAGGGUGCGAGUUCCUUCACGUGCCAAGGGCCGACAACGACCAAGCAGAUGCCCUAGCACGGAUCGGCUCCACCCGACAAGCCAUACCGACUGGCGUCUCCCUCCAGCGCCUCCUCAAGCCGUCCAUCAAGCCGUCUCCAGAGUCGGAUUCCAUCUUCGUACCACCUGCGCCAGAAACAGCCGGAUCCGGCUCAAGAAAUCCCGCAGGCAGCACGGGGACUUUGACGACUGCCCCGGGGACUGACGUAGUCGCACCCGGCCCAGGGACUUCAGAACCCGGCCCGGGGACUGCAGCAGUCGGCCCAGGGACUGCAACGACACAAGAAGCGGUGGUCGACUCCAAUGCAACACCCAACCCACCCACCCGAGUCAUGGUGGCCACAUUAACAGCAGAAGAAGUCACAGCUCCCUCAUGGGCCCAGCCCAUCCUCAAGUUCCUAGUCAGCAGAGAGCUGCCGGCUGAUGAGAUCGCAGCAAGACUAGUGCAACGACGAGCCGCAGCAUACACAAUAAUCAACAGGAAGCUUGUGAAGCGCAGCGUCACUGGAGUCUUCCAGCGUUGCGUCGAGCCAGAAAAAGGAGUGGCAAUCCUCAAAGACAUCCACCAAGGCGAAUGCGGCCACCACGCCGCCUCAAGAUCCCUCGUGGCCAAGGCUUUCCGCUAUGGGUUCUUCUGGCCGACUGCCUUGGAGGAUGCCAAAGAAAUAGUCAAGAGCUGCAGAGGAUGUCAAGUCUUCAGUUCCAAACAACACCUGCCGGCUUCUGCCCUCAAGACCAUUCCCCUCACCUGGCCUUUUGUCGUCUGGGGACUGGACAUGGUGGGCCCUUUCAAGACAGCCCGCGGUGGCCUGACACAUCUACUUGUUGCUGUGGACAAGUUCACAAAGUGGAUUGAAGCAAAGCCAAUCAAGAAGCUCAAUGGGCCGACUGCCGUGACAUUCAUCACCGACAUCACUACUCGGUACGGCGUGCCGCACAGCAUCAUCACCGACAACGGCACGAACUUCGCCAAAGGCGCACUGGCACGUUUCUGCGCGACGCAGGGCAUCCGACUGGACUUAGCGUCCGUUGCCCACCCGCAGUCAAACGGCCAGGUCGAGCGAGCAAAUGGACUUAUCCUCUCCGGCAUCAAGCCCCGACUGGUUGUACCACUGGAGCGAUCGGCCGGCUGCUGGCUCGAAGAGCUGCCGGCUGUCCUCUGGAGUCUGCGCACUACACCCAACAAGUCAACCGGCUUCACUCCAUUCUUCCUUGUGUACGGUGCCGAGGCUGUCGUCCCAACAGACAUCGAGUUCGACUCGCCUCGGGUCACCAUGUACACGGAGGAGGAAGCCAAAGAAGCUAGAGAAGACGGCGUCGACCUACUGGAAGAAGGCCGGCUGUUAGCCCUCAGCCGGUCCGCCAUCUACCAGCAAGGCCUGCGCCGCUACUACAACCGCAAGGUCAAGCCAAGAUCCUUCCAAGAGGGCGACCUUGUGCUCCGGCUGAUCCAGCGAACAGCCGGCCAGCACAAGCUCUCGGCCCCUUGGGAAUGCCCCUUCGUCGUCAGCAAAGCACUCGGCAACGACUCCUACUACUUGAUCGACGCGCAAAAGCCAAGAGCACGCAAGAGAGACGACUCCGGCAAGGAGUCGGAGCGACCAUGGAACGCAAACCUCCUAAGACGAUUUUACGGCUGAAAAGCAGUAUGUAUCACGCUACCCCUUUUUGUAUUAAGUACAAACCAACAGGCCCCCCGAACAGUACUCGGGGACUGCCUUUUAUUUAUCUAUGAAUGACGAGUAUCAUGUCCAUGAAUGUGUUAUUACAUUUUGAAUUCUUGUCCGGCACCGGGUCCGACUAGUCGGCCCGGGGACUGGCCGCCUUGAGCUAUAUCGAAAGUCCUUCCUAAAGUCAGCAAAGUAGUGCGCCGGCUCCCGAGUCCUCCCUUGUUGAAAGUCGCAGCUCAAAGAACUGACUGUCCGACUAGCAAGAGGAAAGACAGAAAGGAUGCCCACACGAAAAACGGCUAAGGAACAACUAACCUAUAUAGCAAAGAGACGGCCUCCAUAUAUGCCUGCCGGCUGUCAAAGCAGCCGGCUGGCCGGCUUCCUAGAAAACUUAGCUUAAGUCCGGCAAAGCUAAAAGUACUUCCCCCUCCCCAAUCGGCUAGGCACCCCCCGGCUACAGAUUGCAGAGCAACUGUUUGACUGGGGAGGCGGCAACCAAGGGAGGGCGGCAAAGGAAAAAAGCAGAAGGACAAAAAGCGAAAGUGCAAGGAAAGACCGAUUGCAUAACUUAUAUACAUAUAAGCCGCCCACAGGCCGGCAACAGACUUAAGUUUGAAUACACCCAGUGGGUGGAAUUGUGCAGACUUAACCAAACAUUGUUCAAAAGUAACAAGACAGGAAAACAAAAGAAAGAAGACUAAGGCGCGACUUGGAGGCCGAGCUAGUCGGUGAAGGCAGCUCGCCGGCUGAAGGAGUGGCCGCCUAGCUGGUUCCGGCUUGACCACCUCCCGCGGCAGGAGACGCACUCGCACGCGACGUAGUGCUGGAGGCGCGGUCAGGCUGGCCGGCUACUCCACCAGCCGGCUCGGCGUCUUCACCUUCCUCCUCCUCCUCUUCGCCCUCGUUGCUAGAGUUGAUCUCCUCCGCCGAGUCCUUGCCGUACGCCGGGUCCAGCCCGAACCAAUCUUCCGGCUGGGCGACUCCAUUGUCGUCCACCUCGGGGGCGAAGACGUUGGUGUCGGUGUAGUCGGCGAUCGCUGAAGCCCGCCGAAUGAUGGCCGGCCGCGCCGGCUCCAGCUCCGUGUCGGCUUGCUGCCGCCAGGUCGACAGCUGGUCCAGGUUCAGGCCGGGAUACCAGGCCUUGACGAACUCCAGCGCCCGCCUUGCGCCGGAGCGAGCCGCUGACGCCUUCCAAGCCUCGAAGCGGCCGACUGCCACCUCCAGCCAGUCGGCGGUCCGACUGGGGGUGCGAGGGACCACUUGGCCGGGCCAGAGGGCGGCCAAGACCUGCGAUCCCGCGCGCUGAAGCCGGCGGAGCAGCCUGUGAGCCGGCUGGAUGCGAGCCUGGAUCGCCAGGAGCUGUUCCUCCAGCGAGCGGCCGGCGGUUGGCGAGAUCUCGAAGCCGGCUUGCCUCUUCGCCUGGCGACGGGCUUCGAUGGCCUGGUUGGCGGCAGUGGAAUAGCCGGGAAAGUACUCUGCGCGAAGAAGAAAAGGAAAGAAAAGCACCAAAAUCAGAAAAACAAGCCGAAGUGGCAGAUGGCAAGAAAGGAUGAAGGGGUAGACGACUUACCGUCAACCAGGUCCUCAAUCUGGCCAUAGCCGGAGACCAGAGUCUGCCUGGCCUCUGCCCAGCCGGCCGCCUCCGUCUUGAACUCGGCCUGGAGGGUGGCUUCGCGAUCCUGCGCAGCCUUCAGCGCAGCCUUGUGGCCUUCCUCCUGGUCGGCCAGCUUCUUGACCAGGCGGUCGCGCUCCUGCACCAAGGCGGCGAGCUCUGCGUCCUUGGCACGAAGAGCAGUCUGGGACUCCCCCAGCUGUGCCCUCAGACUGGCGUUGGCCGCUGCAGAGAUAGAAGAAGAAGAAGAACAAUGAGAAAUCAUCAAGGAAGAUCCGAGCCGACUGCUCAGCAGUCGGCCCGAAUCUCGGGGACUACACCCAGUGGGUGCGCUGACGCGCCCCCACAUGGGAUAAAGAUCAAGUCACAUACCUCGGCUUUCAGUGAGAUCGGCGGUCUUCUGAGUCAGCUCCCGAGCCUGGGAGUUGAAGGCGGCCGCUCGGAGGUUGUGGUAGUCCUGCAAGACGGACAGAAGACCGAAGUGAGAACAAAAGCAGCAAAGACAAAAUCUCCAAGAAGUUCCAAGCCGCCUGCUCAGCAGCCGACUCAGAACUCGGGGACUACAUCCAAUGGGUGCGCUGACGCGCCCCCACGAGAGAAAUCAAGAUCAAGAAGAGAAGUCAAGACCAAGAAAGAACAAGAUGAGAAUACUAACCCGGAUGGCUGCCCGCGUGGCGAGGAAUUCGUCGGUGAACUGCCUCAGCGCCGCGGCUUGGCUUUGCAGCCGGGUCCGGACGUCUUGUGCAGCGACGUUCACCACGGCUGUCCCUCCGCCCGGCGUCCACCCCGAGGUAGCGCUGGCCGCCUCCGCGUCUCGGGCCGACGAGCUGGAGCCCACGGCCGGCUGUGGCUCCGACGCAGCUUUCUGCGGUUCAGACGCGGCCUUCCCUGCACGCCGGCUUGGCGGAACCCGGACAGCCACCUCAGCCCCCGCGGCCGGCUCGCCCUCCGCCGACUGUGCGGGCGCAGGCUCAGGCUGGCGGCCUUGGGUCGCCCUAGUCGGAGGAGUCGGCCCCGGCGCCUCCCCCAAGAUGACGACGUCGUCGCCGCUUCCUCCCAGCCCCGGCUGGGAACCGCUGGCUCCCCCUGGCGAGGGAUCCACGUCCCCGGGCGCCAUGGUGCGCAGGGGGGUGACCAUCAAAGCCUCCCCUGCCGCCGCUUCGGCCUCGGCCUCUGCCUGGGCCUUGGCUGCGGCCUCGGCGAGCGCCUUCGCCGCCUCCUCCUCCCGAGCUGCCUGGGCGGCGGCUGCCCUCCGUGCCUCCACCUCCCGCGCUUCCUGCUCCUCCCGCGCCUCCCGCGCGUUCCUUUCCGUCGCCUCCAGGAGGGCGGCGCGGGGAUCUACGCGGCGGGUGGUGCUCCCAGAGCCCCCUGGCGACUCGACGACGGAGCCGGCGGCCGCCCGCUCAAGUGAUAGCGGAGCUCUGACCAUUGAAAAAGAAGACGAGGAUUCAAGAACCACCAAAGGAAAGGAAGAAGGACAGUACGUAGAAAGAGAGAACUUACGCUGACACAGUCUGCGGCUGCUUCACCACUUUGCGGAAGCGAGCCGCCUUCGCGGCCGCCUCUUCCCGCCUGGUGGCUGCCGCCCCACCCCUGGGCAUCUUCGUCCGGCUACCGAACAUGCCCUGGGUGGCGCGACGUUUCUGGCCUCUACCCCGAGCAGGCUGCGCGCCGGAGGAGCCCGCGCCGCGUCCGGACGCCGGCUGGCGAUGCGGGACGGCUUCGGCUUCGUCCUCGUCCGGCCAGUCGUCGAAGGUAGUGGUGAACCCGGAGCCGCCUGCUUCGCCGCCGGCCGGCUCGGCGGCAUCCUCCAUAUGGACCGCCCCCAGGUCGGGGUCCUCCUGGUCGUGUUCGGUCCGGUCGGGGACGAAGCGGCGCUCCACGUCUGCCCCGCCGGCCGGCCGGAGCAGAGGACUCUGUCAAAAGAGCAAGCCGACUGAGUUAAUGUCAGCCCAGAGGAACUCGGCGACAAAGCUGAGGGAGAGAGAGAAAAAGAGACGAGGGGAGCGUACCGUAGGCGGAGGAUUGGCGCGGCUGUAUGGCUCCUUGCCGAAUUGCCAGUCUUCGGAAAGCUGGCAGUUGGCGAGGUAAUUCACCAUGUCGGCGGCGUCGGGCUGCGGCAUCUCCAUGGUGCACAUCCGGCUCGGAUCGAGCUGGCCGCUCAUCUGACAGAUCAGAUGAGGCCGGCUCUGGAGCGGAAGGACCCGGCGCGUGACGAACGCGGCCAGGAGGUCGGGCCCCGUCAGGCCCUCCGACUGGACCAUCACCCGCAGGCGGGCGAUGGCGGCGUUUCCUCCCUGUGACAGCGUCACGGCCCGGAAGGACCACUCGGGCAGCCUGCCCGCCGGUGGGCCGGCUACGUAGGCCGGCAGGUUGAGGUAGUCGCCCCGGGGAGCGAUACUCCGCACGUAGAAGUAUGACUUCUGCCACUUCUUCACCGAUUGGAUCAGCGUGAUGACGGGGAAGGGGUUGUCGGCGCCUGAUCUCCGCGACGCGAUGAAGGCGCCGGUCUGAGCCGGCACGCCCCGCACGCGCGUGCCCAGCUUUGACUGGAAGAACUCCCCCCAGAGCUCGAGGGUGGGGAGGACGCCAAGAUAGCCCUCGCACAGGGUGACGAAGGCCGACAGCAGCACCACCGCGUUGGGGGUGAGGUGGUGCGGCUGGAGCUGAUAGAAUUCCAGCCAGGAGCGGAAGAAGGCGCUCACUGGCAGGCCGAAGCCGCGCAGGAAGUGCGAGCGGAAGACCACCCGCUCGCCCUCCCGCGGCGCCGGCCUGACUUCCUUCUCCGGCGCAAGGCGGACCUCCACUUUGUCCGCGCUGGGCAGACGUCGGGUGUCGCGGAGGAAGUCGAUGUGGUCGUUAUGGACGAUGGAGCCAUCCCAAUCCCCGCCAAGCUGCUCUACGUGAGGAGGCAUAGCGGAAGCUAGCACGGCGGCGGAGGAGCGUGCGGAGGAAGAGCGCGGCGGCGAGGCGUUGUCGCGAGAACGAGCAAGGCAAGAAGACGGUGGAAGUAGGAGGAGCGUGCGAGGGCCUGCCGCCCUCCACCUCCCCCUACUUAUAGCCUCACGCGGCCGAAGAGGCCGGACAUGGGGGGAGACGUGGGAUUAACUGUGCCCACUCCCCCCACGUCUCGCGUUUAUUACGCAUAAGUGCGAGCCGAAACUGCCGCACGGAACGUGCGGGCGGUUUCGGGAUACAAAAGAUCCGCGCCGGGGCCGGGGCGCGGACGUGGCGGGCCCCCUCCCUGCGGCGACGUCCCGUCGCGCGCGUGGGCUGGCAGGCUUUCCGGCCACGUGGCACGCCAACGGCCCGAGGCCGGCCCGCGGCCCGGUGCACGUACCUGCGGGUUCCCGCCCCCCGACUCCAGAAGAAUUCGACUAAGGCGGCACGCCUGACCAAGGCCGGCUCCCAGCUGCCGGCUUGUCAUGAUAGGAAGCUGAUCGAGCUUCUCGAACUCCACUCCACCUCGAAGCCCAAUCAGCUUCGGGGACUACUGUCGGAGUAAAUGGCCACGGGUAGCCUAACCGACUACCCCUGGCUCUUCAGAAAAUUUAUCAGGCCUUUGGGCCUUCAAGCACUCCAAGCAUUUGGGCCGCCUUCCCCGGCCGGCUACCACUAAAGCCGACUUCCGGAAGGCGACCCAGCCUCACCGACUCCAAGAAGCCGACCAAGAAGGAUGCCGACUUCUAGAAGCCGGCCAAGACCACAACCACUCCUACAUAACGGCGACGUGACGGGGUGUGGCCACAGUGCGGCCCACGACCCCCGAAGCCCGAUGCGGGCAUGGCUACAGGAGGCCGUACGGGAGGGACGUCUCCCGUGCGGCUCGGCACUGUAGCCACGCUAGCCUCGACGUCAUCCACGACCCACUCCUGUACGGCCCAAGGGUUGCGGGCCCCUUCAGCCAGAGAGAGGCGUGAAGGCGGCCCGGCCUUUCCUAGUCGGCCAGGAGCAUAGCCGGCCUCCAGAAGCCGGCCACUCCCUUCCUCGAAGCAGGAGCCCCAUUAAGGAGACAAGACGAGGUGAGGCUACAGUGAUAGCCCCCGAGGCGGCCCACUGUAGCCACGCUCACCUCGACAAAGCCCUCAUCAUCAGAGGCGCGGCUACAGUAAGCAGCCGCCGACAAGACCCUAGGCGGUGGGACCGGCCUGUCGACCAAGUAGCCGGCAGCCGGCGGGACCCAGCAGCCGGCGAAGAAGCCGGCGAGCGUAGACACUGACGGCUGGGACCAGAUCCCAGUCGGAUUACCAUUGUACCCCCGGGGGGUAGGCCUAUAUAAACCCCCCGGAGCACCCAUGCAAAGGGUUCGCUUCUGGGUUGGCCUCUGAGCAUAGUUGGCUUCUAGGUUAACACCCACGCAUAGCACACACACCAUAGAUAGAGAGAAGCAAGAGCUAGCCUUGUUCUUCUUCUCCCUUGAUCUCAAUAGCUCUAGGAGCGAUUGUAGCUACCCCUUAUCGAUCUAGUGAUCAUGCGGAGACCCCGCAGAGCAGGACUAGGGGUGUUAUCUCCUCGGAGAGCCCCGAACCUGGGUAAGAUUCGCCGGCGUGCAUGUCUUCGCCUCAUCCCGUUUCCGGGCACCGGCGAUGUUUUAUUGGCUCCCACAAUGAUAAGCCAUCCCUUGGCAUAUGUCGCACCAACCACCCGACAGAUACACUAUCUAACCAGGUUGAGAGAUCUAAGAAUAAAAUAUCCAACAACAUUUUAUAACAGAUAUGUGAUCUAAGAAAAUCUAGCAAAAUUUAACUCUAUACUGUUUCAUACCUGCAAUCUAAAAAGUCUCAUACCAACUCAAAGUGGCCACGAACGACUAUAUGCAUGGUUUCCAUGAUUCACAAGAUUUCAUAAAAAAGAUGGGAGUAGAACUAAGGCAUGAUGGCAAUGAUUGAAGACCAUAAAAAUUGGUGAUGAGAUGUAUUUGAUUACACUAGAGAAUAUACGAAUCCACGAGCCAUAUAAUGAAAAAUAUUGUAUAUUAAAAUCAUAAAUGGGGAUUUUUCUCUAGAAUCGUUGUGCAACUUAUUUUUAAAACUUCUAUUUGUAUAAGUAUAACGAAUUAUUCUAGAUUAGAAUUGUAAAAUGAUAAUUAUUUGAAACAAAGAGGAUCUUAAAUUGCGGAGGAAACAACAAAGGAUGAGUCGAUAUUUGAAAUAACUUCUUCAUCGAUAUUCACGGAUUAGUAAUAUAUUUGAACAACACAACUGCAAAAACCAAAAACUUCAUACAGAUGAUCUAAAGAAUCAACUAAUUUUAUCUAGCUAGUUUUACCUUUUCCUACCUUGUUGACACGGUUAUUGGCUUGGAUUCCUUCCGCCUCACCUCCUGUCACUAGGCCUAAGUUGUCCUUAUGGUGGUUGUACAAUGUUCAAUGCAACAAUUUAUACAAAAGAAAACUACCAUGGUCGUGGUCUCAACGAGGAGACAGGUGGCAUGCAAGCGUGAGGGUAGUAUCAAUAUCAAUAUAAAAAACCGAAAAGGGCAGAUCAAACAAAUCUUGGCGAUCAAACCUUAUCAAUCCAACGACCUAUAUUGCUUCAAUAGUGAGCCCUCAACAUGUUUAGUGUGCAAUUAAUGUCAUACUAAAUAUCAAUGUCCACACUAUGUAACUAACAUGUAAUUGGUAACUUAUUUAAUAUCAACAUGCAAUUAAAUUUUCUCCAUAAUUUCAAUGUGUAUUGGAAGUACGCAUUUACUAGUUAUAGUAACAAACACAAUUAAAUCAGUUGGCGAAAUUAAUUGGUACUAUAAAAGGAUACAAAUGCAAUUAAUGCUUACACAUAGAUAAUUUAACAUCAUAACUUCUAUAAACUGUUAGAAUAUUUGGGCUUGGCCAAAUAUAUAAAUCCAAAUAAAUAUAUAUCCUACCACCUAGGGUUAGUUACCCCACAUGUUUCAUAUAUUACCAUGUGGUACUAUAUAUACUAAUUUAUAAUUCUAAAUAUGUUUAUGUACUAUAUCUAAGAUAUUUCAAAUAAAAUUAGAUGAAAAAUUGCAUAUGAGCCCAUAGUUUUUGUUAUAUUUGUGAAAUACUUUCAUAUUUGUACGUAAAAAGGAGUAUGCUCAAAAUAUGAUAUAUACUACCCAAAAAGUAGUAUAUAUACUACAUACUACACGUACUAGCAUAAUCAGAUUCAUCACAUUUUCUGGUCUAAAACCAUAUGUAAAGUUUUGUGAUCCAAGUUAUGGUUAUUUUGUUAUAUAUAUAUAUGCGAUGCAAAUUUCGUUGUUUUCCUGUAAAAGAAAUGAGCAAUGCUAUCCUAUAAUUAUUAAUAGUUCAGAUUAUAAACGGGCCGAAACUGCAGCAAACUGGGCCUAAACGGAUGGGUGCUGGACAACUAAACAGCGCAUAGGCCGGGGCCUAUCUACCGAGUGCUCUUGGGCCAAGCCCAUGAGGCAGGGCAAGGAGCUGAGGCUCACCUAGUGGGCUUUAGUCGAGCUUGGUGGUGGCUCGAUAUUCGGCUGGCUUGACGGGCAUGCCGGCUGUCGGUGGCGCGGCCCAUGAUCGGGUCAACACGGGGUUGCGCGUGCGCUCAAGGCUGCCCAGGUGUUCGUCGUGUCGGCCUCUGCACGGGACCUCGUCGGCGAUCUUUGGAUCGGCGCCAGGAAGCAGCCUUUGGCGAGGCAUCUAGGCGGGACCGCGCGACACUGGAUCUCGCACAGAUCUGGCCGACGGCGGCAAAGCCAGCUGUUGAUGGCGCGGCGCCAUGGCCUCUCCUGCGAGGAUGGCUGCGGUUGAUCUCCUAGGGAUAGGGACAAAGGAGGUCGCGGUGAGAGAGAGAGAGACGAGAAGGAGGAAGAAGUGGCAGGGCUGUGGAGGAGGUCUUCCCCGUGGCCGGAAGGGCGAGCGCUGCCGGUGGGGAGCCAAGGAAGCUUGGGAGGAGGAUCCAAGUGGUUGGAGGCGAAACGGGCCGCGGGAGGGCCUGCCUCAGGCUCGCAUGGGCUGCUGCUGGUGGUUGGAGGAGGGGACGCUCGGGAGCCACAUCUCAGAUCGGCGGCUCGAAUCGCAUGGGGACUGUGUGGAGGUGAGAGAUGGAGGGGGCUGGUUGGGUUGGUGCGAAAAUUAAGCACGAAGGGGUGGCUGCUUAAAUAGGUAGGCGAAGGAUUUGACGACUACGUUUUUAUUUUUUGAUUGAAACGGGAUGCUGUUUAAUUAGGUAGAUUUUAUUUACUACCCACGGCUGAUAAAUCUUCGAGGCUACGUCAACCGCGGUUAUUUUUGAUUGAAAGGAAUGCUGCUUAAAUAGGUAGAUUUUAUUUAUUGCUCACGACUGAUAAAUCUUCGCGGCUACUCCAGCAUCGGGUUUUUUUAUUGAAAGGGGAUCCUGCUUAAAUAGGUAGAUUUUAUUUAUUGCCCACGGCUGAUAAAUCUUCGAGGCUACGCCAGCAGAGGAGCUAGUUGACUCGCUGACUUAUGGGUUUCAUGUGAUAUUUUCUUCGUUGUUGCUUUCUAUUGCUGGUAUUAGUUUUUGUUUUCUUUUCUUUCUCUGCUAGCUAUUUUUUCCACUGUUUUUUCCAUUUUCAAUGGUUUAUUUUGGUUUUCUCUUCUUUUUUUGUUACUAUUUCGUUCAUAUAAUUUUAAAAAUGUCCAGAAUUUUUAAAUUAUUCACUAUGUCGAAAAAUGGAAUUAAAUUAUUGUUUUACAUUUUCCAGAAAAUUUAGACAAAUUUUUAGUAAAUGUUUUAAAAAAUAAAUUAUUCUGUAUUUUAUUUUAUUCCACGUUUUAGAAAAAUUGGGUGAGAUUCGAACAUUGGCACAAUUUUCUAAAUGUUCACAAAGUAGAAAUGUUGCUCGCAGUUGUAAAAAAUUGUUUGAAAUUUCAAAAUUUUGGUCCAGGUUUUUGAAAAAUUAUUCACUUUUUUGAAAUUUGUUGAUAGUUUUGAAAGUAAAAGCCCAAUCAAAACUGCUUCAGUAUAGUGAAACGGGCUGCGACAAUAGUCGGUCCGCUACAAUGUUUCGUUCACUAUUUCGGUCGCUACUAUAACUUCUUAAUGGGCCGGCCCAUUUGCGCUCGCCCUGUGUGUCUGCUCAUCUGUUUGACGCUUGCGUACGAACAAGUUGUUGCCGAUGGAAUGAGAUUGAUGCGAUAAUAAUAGGGGGCUGAUGGGCGCCGGCGCGCCGGCCCAGCAAUUGGGCCGGUCGAGCCCCUGCCGCCCGAUACAGCGACCCCGCUUCGUCCUCCUUGCAGUCGUUUCACACACCCACCCUCCCCUCCUCUCCGGGAUAAAAAUUGCAACGGCCUCGAGCUCCGCCGACACCUCACCAUACCUACGCGAGAAAAACGGAGCUUGAAGCUACACCGCGGCAUCCUCAUCGUCGGCCGGCACCCUCGCCUGCCGUUGCCAUCUGCAUCUCCUCGCCUCCGGCUCCGCACAUGCAGCAGCUGCAUCCUCUGGUUGCAGCUCCGUGUAGCGAUGGCUGUAGCUCGGUGGUGAUGCAGCACCGUCAUGCCGUCAAGGGCCAUGCCGGGUUGAAGCUUUUUUUCCAUGGGCAUUGAAGCUUUUUUUCAAGGUUGAAGCUUUUCACAGAUCGGUUGAAGCUUUUUCACACAUCGGUGGAAGCUUUUUCCCGUGCCGCUCAAAGGUAUUUUUCGCGGUUGAAGCUUUUAUCCAUAAUUUUUGCUACAAAACGGCACGAGAAGAGCUACAACUAGUGGUCGUUUUUGCUACAACCAGGAAGACGACGAAGUGUGACUGGCGACGACGGGUUGGAGAAAGCUACCAGCGACCGAAUUUGCUGCAACUGGUGUGCGGUGGUGCAACCGGCGUGCGGUGGUGCGACGAGCGGUGACAUGGAUGACCAAGGCGCCUAGGAUUUGCUACCACCGGUGCGCUUUUUUGCUACCACCCUGGUGACCGUGUGCUACGAGCGGUGCAGCGACGGGGAGCUGCUACCUCGACGACGAACGUUGGAACCGGCGUGAUCCAUCACGCAGAUGCUGCAAACGUUGCGGAAAACAGCUUCAACCUUGGUGGAAAAAGCUUCAACCGUCAGAAACAUGAGAUGCUUCCAGCAUGAGACGAAUGGGAGCUGCGAUUGGGGGCGAGGGGGCACACGCAUGGCGGAGGGUGUCGCGGGUCGCGGCCGGAGACGUGUAUGCUGGUGGCGUGGGCGGGGACUGGUUCAUGGUGCCUGGUGGUGCAGGUGCACAUGGCGUCCGUGUUCGUGGGAAAGGAGAUGAGGAAAAAAAACUAUUGGAAAAAGAGUGGCCCCGUUGGUUUUUAGGGGUGCUCCCAUCGCAGGAUCGAGCGAUCGCGAGGCCCACGUGCGUCGGGCGCAACGCUUCGGCCGGCGUCCCGGCAGUAAAACGUUUCCCAUAAUAAUAAUAGAAAAAUAUGAUGAUUAUGGUUACUCUCACCUGUUACACACGCGGACCCCAACUGUCUUAUCGUUUGCCAUGUGCCUGGUUGUUCCGCUCGCGGCGAAGACGGCAUAUUUCGUUCGCCCGACUGGGUACGCGCGGGGGCAUGGUCGUUCGCUUCAUGUCGGGCUAUGAAGUAUUGUACGUGCGGGAUCAACCGCCGUCGGGGGCUGCUGAAUUUCAAAGACUUCUUGUAGCGGCCGACAUGCCUCCAAUGCUGGCCUGCUGGGCUCCAGCCACCGAAUGCUCCUCCUGCCUUUGGACCACGCGGUCGACGCUGUGUCGCCCCGCGGUGCCUCUUUCAAGCAGGACAUGGCCUCUGUCGAAGGGGCCAUUGGGCGAAGGUGCAUUUGUGCAAUCUGUAAUCGAGGGAGAAGACGAGCUAAGCGGAGAGACCUAUGUGGAGCGGUGGCGACCUUAGGUACGUGUGAUGUGUGAGUCACCAUGAUAUUGGGGGUAUUUAUAUAGCUGAACGAAGAGAAUUGGAGCUAGCUGUGCUGGAACGGGCUUGCCGGCGCUUUAUCGGCACCUCUUGGGGUUGACGUGUGGCCGUCGGAGACGCGCGUGUGGUGGGUCGUUCCGUAGUUGAGUUCUUUCGCAUUUCUCGUAUCGUUUUUCGUGGAUUAGCAUCUCGAGAUCAAAUUGGAUUGGAUGAAUCGGUAAUCUUUCUCUGACCUCUUCAGUUGUGCAGGCACAAAUAUGAACUGGUCUAAGUUUGUUUUUAUAUAAUUUUAUAUUACUUUCGAUUUGUAUAUUUGUAUUCCUUUGUCGCCACAAACAUAAGAUCCCUAUGGUCCUACUCAAGGUAGACUAUCGCAAGCCGGCGGCUACUCUGGGAUGGAUCGAGGUUUAGGCCAGGGGGCUUGUUGGGGCUUUUCUUCACUUCAGCACUUCCCCUCGCAGUGGAUUCCACUAGGUUCUUAACCUCUUCCAGAGGACGUGGACGCGGCAGGAAUAGAUCCAGGGGGAGGACGCGAAUAAAAAAGGCCGCAAUUCUCUUCUCGUUCGCAUGAGCAAAAUUCAGAGAACUAGUUAUUGGCGUGCAUUGAAGCCACCGGUAGAAACACACCAACAUGACGUGCGGUGGCGGAUCUAGAAAUAAAAUGGAGGGUGUGCAUACUUUAAAAAAAUUGAAGUCUAUUUCAAUUCGCUUGCAUAGGCCUUAAAAAUAAGCUAAUUUUUACAUGAUGAAAAAUGUUUUUCAAAAAUCUGAGUGUGCCAUGGCACACCUGGCACACCCCCUGGGUACGACAGUGAUGACGUGCAGGAAACACGAUGGGACAAUGUGUGCACGCACAUUUUUUAUCAACCAGUUGCGGUAGAGCCAUUCCCAAGGUGCUUGUUCGGCUAUGAGACACCCAUUCCCGAUGAGAAGUACCAUAUAUACCCCAGCAAACCGGUGAGGUUGAUCAACAUGCGCAUGUGCUACUCCCACUUGUAAUGGCAAUCGUCCCAGCGCCCACCUACCUUGUGCCGGAGCCUGCGUCAUCCAGCACCGUCGUGCUAGAGCCUGCCCUCAUCACCCUACAGCCUGCGCCCGGCCCCGUCGUGCCAGAGCACGUGCCGCCCACCCCCAUUGCCCUAGGGACUGUUCCUGAGCCAUGACUCUUCGGGUUUGAGUUGGAGGUCGACGACCCUCCAUCUCUGGAUGAUGGAGUUGAGGAACUCCGGGGCCGGUAUGAUGCCUGCCUGGAUGAGUUGGCAGAGUUGGCUGACGCCCCCCUCGUGACAUUAACUGUGUAGAAUAUGAGGCCUGCGCAAUUGUUGGGCCCGACCAUUCCCCAUUGCACACCAUUUCAUUGCAGUAGUCGACAUUGUCGCUACCCCGAAGCCCCCAUGGUGUAGUAAAUCGAAGCAGUGGACGUGGCAGUUGACCGCAUGGAUGUCGCACGCGCGUUCUUAGCUAGCGUUGAAGCAGAAGGCGAUGCCUAGCACUAUGUAGUUCUAUCACAUUUUACCUAUGUAAAUAACGUUUUAAUAUUUUGUUAAUUAAGAACCUAUGAACAUAUGUUCCUUUAUUAUUUACUGUCUUUAUGUAUGUUUUGAAUAUUUCAUGCUACGGGUAGAGGUCAAUGUGCAGCCUGAAAAACUUUCUACUAUUGAAAUCGUGUGAACAUCAUCACACACGACUUCUUAGAUGUAACUUUUUGUGAUGAUAAAUAUAUCUCACACGGUCUAUUGUAAAUUGCACAUGGUACAUUCAAAAGUUUUUGUGAGAUGGUUCACGUCAUCACGUAUAAUUGUUUCAAUAUAACCGUGUGUUGUGUAGCACACACGGUUCAUUUAGCCAAAAUAUAUGUGAUGGUUUAGUUCACCGCACGCGCCCAUCUAUAAAACUGUAUACAUUAAUUGCACAGAGUUUUCUUUCCACAACCAUGUGUGAUAGUUCAGUUUAUCGCACACGCUUCUUUCAAUUGAACUUUGUGCAUGGAAUUGUACAGUUUUCUUCCCCCAAUCAUGCGAGAUGUGCUGGCGAGUGCACACGAUUUAUUUCCAAGGACACAUUUUAAUUUUUGCACCGUUCUUAAUGUCAUAAUCACACACAGUUUAUCGUUUGGGUGUGCGAUAAGGAGGCCUUAACAGAACCGCUCUGCACUAGUGUAGUGCAUUCCAUCAUGUGGCGGGAGUAGGUCUUUAUAUUUUGGGCUGUACACUUUAGGGGUUAUCACAUAAACCUUAAACUCUUUUCCCAUCUUAUAAUCCAUGAACAAGGCAAAUCUUUUGCCUUUUUUAGAAAAAAAAAACAAAUGUAAGUAUACUUUACGAACUACUCGUAUAUUUUUUUCCCGUUACAUCUACAACACCAAAAACUCAAUAUUUGCUGUCCAGGCCUUGUUUGCGUUUUGUUCGUUGAUGGCUCAUUACAAUCCCCUCAGUAUGGCGUGUGCAACGAACCUAUUUGCAGCCUCCGUGUAAUGGAUCCCAUCCCACGAAACGGAUUCCGACGGAUCGGCGCACGCGAUCGCCGCCGGAGUGCCGCAGAAGAAGGUGAAGUUGAAGUUGUACGGCCCGCCGCCGCCGCCGCAGCACGCUGCCAAGGGCAUGUCGCCGAAGCCUGCCACAGAUACACACGCGAUGCGCGCCAAGAAAAACCAUACAUUUGUUAGAACCGAAACCGAUGGCAUGCGGAUCAACUGGAGAGAGGAAAGGCUGUGACAUGCAGCACCGUAUUUUCUGGGCGAGGAGACGACUGCGGCGAUGAGGCGGUACAGAUCGGCGUAGUGGAUGGCCGCGCCGGGGUGGUCUCGCCGGAGCUGGCAGAGCAUGCGCUUCAGCGCGCGGUUGUGCAGCUGGGCGAGCUGGUUGAACCGCGCGAUGCAGCCGGACGCCCGGUCGUAGUAGUCGCCCGCGCCGCCGGGUAGGAGGGCGAGCAGCUCCGGCUCGCACCCCAUCGGUAUCAUCCCCGCCACCACCAUCGUCCGCGCUCCAACACCGAUCGCGUCCUGCAUCGUGGAACGAGACAAAUACGGUAAAAUUGAAGUAGUUAGCUAGGGUGGGUGUGGUCAGCUGAGUUGACCGGCCAGAGUACUCUACUCACGGUCAGGACUGAACGGAUGGCACCGACGAUGUGCGGCACCAGACUCUGCGCCAGGCCCACGGUGCCGUUGCCGAAGACGGCGACGAAAGAGUAGUCGUUGAAUCCGAUCUCGCCCAGGUACAGGAGGGAGCUCGCCAUGAUCUUGCGCUGCCCUGUAAUAUACAGCCCUCCCCUAAUCAGCAACGAAGUUUUUGAGGACUCGUUGCGAAAGGUGAACUCGCCAUGGACCUUAUUAAAAUGUGAAAUGGCGGAUCUCAUGAAUCAAGAAUCGUGAUACAUACCGUUGCCUGUGGAGUCGAGAAGCUGCAAAACACCGUUGAACCAGCUCGUCUGGUUGCUGAGAGAGACCGGCACGAACGAUGUGAUCCCUCUGCUCUGCAGGAACGCCGGGUCAAGCGCCGUCGCGCCGCCCACCGCGAAGUUGGCGCCGUGCAGGAAGUCGACCGCGGUCUUGCCGGCGAGGUACGGAGUUGGCGGCGGCAACCCCAGAGACUCCACUGCAUCCCCACAACACAUAAUUGUGAGCUUGUAUCAUCACAGUAGUGCAGGUCAACGCAUGAUCCGAUCGGUGAUUAAAGGAUCUUUACCGAUGAAGUCGAUGACGAGGCGGCCGUCGGAGGCCCUGCCGUUGGGCCGGCCAAAGUGGGUCUGCCCGUACGGCGGGUUGGUGAAGGGUCCCCCGGCGGUGACCGGGAGGAUGGCCGAGUUGCCGGUGUCGGUGAGCGAGUCGCCGAAGCUGAAGACGCGGUCGUAGCGCGCCUGGCCGUGGCCAGCGCCGCCGGCGUCCGCCUCGCCGGUGACGGCGACGAGGAGAAGGGCCACCAGAAGGAGACGAGGAAGUAGCGCCAUUGGGAGCUACGUAGCGUGCGAUCCGAUGCUGCUUCCGCGCGGGUGUGCCGACUCGAUGUUUUGACUCUUGUGAUUGCCCGAUGGCGAUGCCUGCUCGUUGAUUAGUUCGAGUAUCAGUUCCACUGGCCUCUGUUAGUUUUUAAUUGCCGAAGUCAGCUCCAGCAUGGUGAUGAUGCGACGAGCGUAGCAAGAGGUCAGAAAUGGCGGGUUCUCGUAGGCCAAAGAGCAAACAUAACAUGCGCAUAUGCUCUGCCUCCAACUUCUGCAGAUCUAGGAAUUACAGAAACCCACCACGUCGAGGGACGGGUUUGCCGAAAGAAUGGUUCUAUGAUUUGUUUUUCUUUACAAAAAAUACAAUGUCUAUGAUAAGUUUUUUUUACGUAAACCUUUGAUCGACGAACAAGAGCGCUUUAAACACGUUUAUGACAGAUGGGUCUCCCUCCAGAGGAGCUGGCUUAGCUGGAAAAAAAGGCCACAUGGACAUUUUGACUGGUCUUUUCUGGCCAAACCCCGAGCCUAGCCUAGCCCACUCUAUGAAAAUGCAUGAUCACCUCCCAUCUCCCUUGCCGGCGACCAUCACCUCCAUCUUCUGCCGUCGGUGUCGUGCCAUGGCCCCACUCCACCUUCCUCCGCGCCGACGUGCCCCGCCUUCUUCCACCGCCCCGGUUCUGGUCGACGGAUCCGAGCAUCCACAAGCCAGCCGUCAUGUGGUGCCGCCGACCCUGUCCUCUUCUCUGCCUCACUAUGACGAUCAGCAGCAGAGCCUGCAGCAUUGANNNNNNNNNNNNNNNNNNNNNNNNNNNNNNNNNNNNNNNNNNNNNNNNNNNNNNNNNNNNNNNNNNNNNNNNNNNNNNNNNNNNNNNNNNNNNNNNNNNNNNNNNNNNNNNNNNNNNNNNNNNNNNNNNNNNNNNNNNNNNNNNNNNNNNNNNNNNNNNNNNNNNNNNNNNNNNNNNNNNNNNNNNNNNNNNNNNNNNNNNNNNNNNNNNNNNNNNNNNNNNNNNNNNNNNNNNNNNNGGCAGCGCUCGUAGAGGAAUCGCGGGUGGCGCAGGUGCCUCACCGCCGCUAUGUUGUUCACAAUGGGGAGCAACCGUUGUUAGCGCCAUCGGUGUGGAGGCGCUCACAGAGGAAGCGCAGGUGGCACAAGGAGCUCCUGGGGAUGUGCCUCGGGCGGCCCUUCUUUCCCUGCUAGAGGGGAGGCGCGGCGAUGGGGCACCUCCACAAGGUGUCCAUAGCGUGGCGGUACUUUCCAAACACAAAUUAGGGAGGGAAGUUGAGGGUAGGGAUGGUGGAGGCGGCGGUGGGGGAGAUGGGCACUGGCUGCGGCAGAGACCGACACAGAAGGAGUCGAGGGCGACGGGCGAGAGGAAGAAGAGAGAGUGGGUUGUGCUAGGGUUUUGGCUACAGAAGACCAAUCAAAUUGCCCAUGUGGCAUUUUUCUACCAAGUCAGCUUCUGAUGAGCGGGACCCAUAUAUCAUAAAUGUGCUCAAAGUGAUCUAACUCACUGAUUCAUGGUUUACGCAAAAAAAAUACUAUAGAUAUUGUGUUUUUUUCACACACAAAAUCAUAGGACCGUUAUUUCUGCAAACUCGCCCCUCAAUAUGGUGGGUUCUUGCAAUUAACUCAGGAGCCAAGGGAUUCAGUCUUGACCUUGUGCCUUUUUUAUGUAAAGGGUAUUUUUGUUUAAGGCCAGCGCUAGGCACGACUGUGGAUAGGAAAUUAUCAGCAACCUUCGCGUGACCUUAUAGUGCAUAACCAUUUCCUUGCCACAUCCCUCGCAGCAUAUCACCCCCUAAUCGCAUUGACUAUCACCUCACAACACGCUCGUCGGAUCCUCCAUCCAGCCGCCACAGCAUUGCCAAGGCUGUCGGAACAUCGCCUCACAGCAACAACUUCAUCCCUUCCCUCGCAGCAUCGCCGGUGGCCGUUGCAACAUCGCAUCGACACAUUGCCUCCCCGCGUCGUGGGUGGCCGUCGCAGCAGCAACUCUGGCACUCCUUCGCAGCAUCACCAGCCGCGCCGUGGCAUCGCCUUGCAACAUCACCUCGCAGCAUCCCAAAAACCGUCACGGCAUUGCCUCGUGGCAUCUCUGGUGGCCGUCACAACAGUAGCAUGCAUCCUGACGACUAUCACAGCAUCGCCUCCAACAUCUCCGACAGUAGCAGCUCCAAUGCUCUCUCUCAGCAUCACUGCAUACACGUCACAGCAUCACCUAGUGGCUUCGCGGCAGAGGUGUCAGUCGCCCCUUCGCAUGUCAGUCGGCAGCCUUCUCCAGCAGCGGCGGUGUAGUGUCCCUGCAGCAAAAACGAUGGCGGUGGCGCACGACCACAUCAUCCCUUGCAGCGAGCAGCAUGAUGGGGUGCGCGGUGCUUGGUUCAUGUUGGCGACAACAUGUGUAUAGCAGCGCCCCAUGCAGGUCGAGAAUGAGUAGGAAAAUGAGGGACAAAAUACAAGAGAAUGGGAAUGGGGUUGCCCUAGGUAUUUCUAGGACACAUUGUAUGUGGGGUCCAUAGGGGACGCGUGAUAGCCAAGGGAGGCGAGCGAUGCGAGCGACAAAAUCAACCGGCUGAAAGGAAGUGGUUUCCUUUUUAUUGAAUAAUAAUGUUGUAUCAAGGAUAUAUGAAUAUAACAGAGUAUAUACCCGACCCCUGCUUAAAUAAGAUGUACAACCAAAAAUGCACAAACUUAGGCAACACGUCAACAAAGGGUACAAUCACACAAAAACAAAGCAAUUCCUAACGAGGAGAGGGGAAAGGCAUGUAUGAAGACUAUGCUGCCACCCAUAAGGGGUUAAAACAUUCUUGGACACCUGCUCCAAACACAUACACAUUGUUGUAAACAAAUGUCGGUGUUCGUAUCAUUGUAGAAUAGACCACGAACGAAGCUAGUGUGUAUACCGAUAGAUAAUCUUGCAAUGGAGAUGAAUUUGUAUAAUUAAAAAUCAUAUCAAUACUACAUUGUCAUAAUGGCCAAAUCUACGUUUAUGCUCUCACCCUUAUGAACACGCUAAACUUGCAUGGUAUACCAUGAAGCCAGUGACCAAGCACAUUCCCUACAGUGCGUGUGAAAGAUCGUGGAUGUCGCCUAGAGAAGGGGGUGAAUAGACGCUUUAAAAUAAUUAUAGUUUAGGCUUGAACAAAUGCGGAAUAAACCUAGCGGUUAUUUUGUCAAGCACAAAACCUACAACAACUAGGCUCACAUAUGUGCACCAACAACUUAUGUAAGUAAGAUAAACAACUAAGUGAUAGCAAGAUAUAUAACAUGAAAAAUUAUGGCUAUCACAAAGUAAAGUGCAUAAGUAAAUGGCUCGGGUAAGAGAUAACAACCAAGGCACGCGGAGACGGCGAGGUAUUCCGAAGUUCACACCCUUGCAGAUGCUAAUCUCCGUUUGGAGCGGUGUGGAGGCACAAUGCUCCCCAAGAAGCCACUAGGGCCACCGUGAUCUCCUCACGCCCUCACACAAUGCAAGAUGCCGUGAUUCCACUAAGGGACCCUUGAGGGCGGUCACCGAACCCGUACAAAUGGCAACCCUUGGGGACGGUCAUUGAACCCGUACACUUUGGCAACCCUUGGGGGCGGUCACCGGUACCCGUCAAAUUGCUCGGGGCGAUCUGCGCAACCUAAUUGGAGACCCCAAUGCUUGCCCGGAGCUUUCCACCACAAUGAUUGAGCUUCGAGGCACCACCAACCGUCUAGGACACCCAAGCACCCAGGAGGAAUAAGCUCUAGAGUACCAAGCAUCCAAGAGUAAUAAGCUUCUCAACUUUUCACUUCCACGUAUCACCAUGGAGAACUCAAACCGAUACAACUAAUGCAGUGGCAAGCUAUGGAGGAAAAAGAGAGGAAGAACAAGAAGGAGAACACCAAGAACUCCAAGAUCUAGAUCCAAGGGGUUCCCCUCACAAAGAGGAGAAAGUGAUUGCUGGAAAUGUGGAUCUAGAUCUCCUCUCUCUUUUCCCCCAAAAACUAGCAAGAAUCGAUGGAGGGAUUGAGAGAUAGAAAGCUCGAAGAAGGUCAACAAUGGGGAAAGAACACAUGAUCAAAGGAUAAGGUUCAAUGGGGAAGAAGAUCCCCUUUUAUAGGCACUCCCGAAUCCAACCGUUAUGUGUUCAGCCCGCAUACAAGCGGUACUACCGCUCAGAGGAGCGGUAGUGCACGUAGUGCGGUGCAACAAUGCAAGACCACAAGCCGGUAGUGCCACCGGAGCGGUACUACCGCUGGGGUCGCAGCACAGGGCACUAAGGAGGCAGAGCAAAACAGGGGGCGAGGCAGAGCCGCAUCAGCGGCACUACGGCUGGAGCCAGCGGCACUACCGCUGGAGCCAGCGGUACUACCGCCUACACGCGGUAGUGCUGUCCACCACAGCCGCUCUACUACCGCUGAGAACACGCAGCAUCCAGAAAGGGAAGCGGAAGUGCAGGGGCGGUACUACCGCUUGAAAGCGGUAUACCGCUCGUGCUACCGUCCCACUGCCGUGCAAGCUGACACGAAAAAUCGCAACCCCAAAAGCAGCGGUACCACGCACGGCACUGCCGCCCAUAAGCGGUACUACCGCUCAGCUAAGCGGUACUACCGCUUGGGGUGCUACAAUGAAGCCCAAGCAAACAGAUGGAAACAAUAAAACCUGAACUGCCAUAACUUCUACAUAUGAGCUCUGAAUUGAGCAAACUCAAGCUUGUUGGAUAGAGGGCGACAAGAACUAUCCAACAGCGAUGAUCUAAGGCUUCAAAUCUCUAUGAAUGAAGAACCGGCGAAAACUCCAACGUCGAAAACAUCAUAGAAGAUGCACAAAUGAACUCCAUUUUCGAUGAAUUCGAGCUUGUCAUGAAGAUGACCAUAAGCUCCAAAUCUCACAAGGAGAAACACCAAACAAGAACCAAGAAAAAUGAUGCAAGGAUGCAAUGGUUUAAGCUCUCUACGAACGAUACGAUCAAGCUACCAACUGAGAGCCCCCCUUGAUAGUACGGCAAUCGAUCCUAUAACCCGGUCUCCCAACUACCACCAUGAGACCGGUAAAAUAUAAAAACUAUCAAGGGAAAACCUUUGCCUUGCACAAAGUCCACUCGAGAUAGAUGAUGUAGAUCUUGACUUCCUCAAGUUGGACCACAUUUCUUGAUUGUGUUGGCUCGAUGAAGACUAGUUGAUAGCUCUCCCAUACUCCACUAUGGGUGAGCCACUCUUCGGCACAUCUUCACAAGUCCAUUGUCACUACAAUGGACGGCACGCUUCAAGCACUUGAUCUCUUCAUGAUGCACCACUUGAACUUGCACACCGCAAUCUUGAUGACGAUCACCACUUGAUGUCAUCCUCUGUGGGUUGUAUGAAAUCUUUCUCUUGACGCAAGCCCAUGGAAACAUACCUAACCCCACAAACACUCUCACAUAGACCAUGAGUUAGUACAUAAAGCGUGAUGGACAAUGCUUACCAUACCAUGGGAUCACUUGAUCCAUCUCGGUACAUCUUGUACGCUUUGUGUGUUGAUCAAGUUGAAUCACUCUUUGUACUUAGUCUUGAUCAACCUUGUAUCAUGUCUUCUACAUGACCAUCUUUGGAUAAUUCCUUGAAUAGCACUUUGGUCAUCACAUAAACUCCUUGAAACCUACACAUGGACUUCAAGAAAAUCCUAUGGACCAACUCUUCAAAUAUAACUCGAGCCAACCAUUAGUCCAUAGAGAUUGCCAUCAAUUACCAAAACCAAACAUGGGGGCACCGCAUAUUCUUUCAGCGUGGCAGAUAGAAGUUAGACACAACUUGGAUGACCGACUAUGUAGCGCGCAAAGCUGCAUUGCAAGAAAAUAUAUUACGUGCGGCACAAGAACAUAAUGAAAACCACUUCCCCUUGACACAUUGUAACGAGUGGUCACCUAAGGAGGGGGUGUUGAAUGUGGAAGAAGACCGAAGGAACCGCCAGCAUCUAAAGAAAGCGGUGAUUCUGAUGGUGACCUAUUUACCGUAUCAAACGAGUAAUCCGAUGAAGCCUGGAUUUUGGAUACACUAAGCUCUUAUCAUGUCACACCUAACAAAAGUGUGCUUAACUUCCUGCAAGUUUGGUGAUCUUAGAUAUGUCUAUCAAGACGACGAUGUGCCAUGGUGCAUUGGAGAUAUCAAGAUCGAGAUUGAAUACGGUGUUGACAUGUGCUCAAUGAUGUUAGAGAUGUGUGGAAGGCUCGGAGGGAUCUAAGUUCAAUCGACGAACUCCAUCGAAAUGGUUAUGUCCAAAGGUGGACAGGGACAAGAAGACCAUGAGGAUCAAGAAGGACAAGAAGCUUGUGGAUGGGAAAGAGGACCAAGAACAACCUGUACAAGGUGCGAGCAACCAUCGUUGAGAGUUGAGGAGAAGCCAGGUGUGGUGAUAUAUUAUCAAUCAAGAGCUUGGCAACCGGCUCAUGCGAGUGAGCAAACAAGAGAAGACCCGAGUCUAACCAUGCAUGUGUUUUCAAGCAAAAUGGUGAUUUCAAGAUGGCAAAGGACGCUAUGGUGAAGUUUGUUGAAUGAGUGUAUAGAUCUAUAAGACUUGGUGUAUGCGGAGAGUUAAGUGUUUGAGUCAAAUACGUGUAGUCCAUAAGACGUUGUGGGGUAGGCAAAAUGGCUAGACGAAGAUGGUAGACUAGAUACAAGAUCUAGAAGGAACCAUAGUAGGAUGGUCGAGAUGCACCUGGUCUUAGCGGGGCUUUGGUUGAUCCCUACUAUGACAAUUUAGUACAUGAAAGUAGCGUUAAUAGUCAUGUCUCGGGACAAACAAUGUUCAAUGAACCUUAGUAAUAAGUAAGUACUUCCUUCGUCUCAAAAUAAAUGUCUCAACUUUGUACUCCUUCCAUUCCACAAUGUAGUGCGCCCGCGCUUUCCGAGGUCGAACUUUGACCAUAAAUUUAACGAACGAGACCGACUGCGGCGGGAGAAAAAGUUACAUAAUUAAAAACUUCUUUCGAAUACGAAUUCAUUGAUAUAACUUUUGCUCCCGCCGCAAUCGGUCUCGUUCGUUAAAUUUAUGGUCAAAGUUCGACCUCGGGAAGCGCGGACGCACUAUAUUUUGGAAUGGAGGGAGUACUAAUUUUAAUAUAAAAUUAUACUAAGAUUAAGACACUUAUUUUAGAACGGAGAGAGCUCUCCAUCUAUUUUUGCAAUGAUUUGAUCACGUAAAUUCUAGGCCGAAGGACAGCGAAAGGAGACGGUCGCUGUUCAAUGCAUUCCCAUCGCAUACACCUCUUAGACACAUUAUGCUUAAUUAAUCUGUCUUUGGUGGCCAACAGUCAUUGACAAAUCUCUUCUUAGCUUUCCAAGAGAAGCGCGCGAAAAGAGCAUCAUGGAAGUAAUAUCCUACGAACCGAAUCCAGACAACGCGAAUGUUCAUCUCAUCGUGUCAUACCACCCAACUAUUCCCCCUUUCUUUCGCCUGCACAACAUACGCCUACGAGAAGGGAACCGGAUUCUCCUCCCUCCAAUCAGGCGGUGCAAAGAGCUAAUGGAAAUACGGCGCGAUGGAGAACCUCAUUCCUCGCCGGCCGGCCGGCCGACUUCAAGCGCUCAGGGUCAGAGUCAGACGAUGGCGCAGGCGUUGGGGUUCUCCUCGCUGAAGAUGGUGGUGAGGCGGUUGGCGUCGGUGGCCAUGCUGUAGAUGCCCUCGCGCACCGGCGUCGGGUAGCUGUACCGGUACUCCCCGGAGAAGUACUCGUGCCGCCUCGGCGUCGCCUCCCACCUCGGCAGCGGCGACGGCGUGUACCUCAGGUACCCCGGCGGCCCGCGGCCCUGCUGGCCGUGGUGGCCCGGCGCGCCGUUGCCCGGGUUGCUGCUCGGCGCGUGCUCCGGCUGCUGCUGCUGUUGCUCCUGGUGUUCUUCUUGCUGCUGCUGCGGUGGCGGUGGCUCGGGACCGAACCGGACGCGGCGCGGCGGCUUCUUCUUGCCUCGCUUCGGCUGCCUCGGCUGCUGCUCGGGCGGCGGCGCGCCUUGCUCCGGCGCGGGAGCGGGCUGCUCGGGCUGCGGCUGGGGCUCGUGCUGGGGCGGUGGCGCUUGGGGCUCUGGGUGUUGCUGCUGCUGUGGUGGCGGGUUUGGCGGGAUCAUGUGCACGGAGUUGGUGCCGCUGAAGGUGACGGUGCGCGCCACGGGCCGCAUGUAGAGCGUCUCUGGGUGUGGGCCGGGAGGGUAUGCCAUGGCGUAGUCCAUCCUCUGGUCCUCCAUCCAUCGUUCGCGCCCUGCAUAUGUCGCCGGAGCUCACAAACAUCAGCUAGCUGCUUUGUUUGUGUGACAAACGUUGGAGCUCUGAGACUACACAGUAUAUGAUCACGUGACAUGAGUUAAACAAUAAUGAAUACUACUCCUAGCAAAGCUCGGCUAUCAACUGAACAUAUUCCGGCAUGAGCUAUGGUACAGAAACUUACGCAAAGAAAAAACUAGUAGCAGAGGUAGAACUGAAUUGUAGCGACGGAAACCUAUCUUGAGAAAGACAAGAGGUCUCUAGCACUGGUGCAUAACGACACUCUGCCAGAAAGAACAGCGCAGAAGGAAGGUCAAAGCUGCCUCCUGCUUGAGAAUGGUUCGAAAGAAGAAAGGCAUCCGUGAACCAGGCGCGAGCUCUCUAGACCCAGGACUAUCUAUCAUCAAUCAUCAGAGAAAAAGCAGGAGAAAAGAAAACAAGGGGACGCAUCGUACCGUUGCAUUUCCCAAGCGCUUUGGAGACGAUCACGCGCAGGGGAUAGCAACCCAUCUCCUUCCUUCCCACCCUCCCUAUCUCGCACGGUGCUGGCCUUGCUGCUGCUGGCUCGCGUGUGCCCGUCGCGGCGCGGGUCUGGGCGCGGGAUACAUGCUAGCUCUCCUUCAGUUCGCGGCAACGAAAUGGAACUGAUGGACCAUUUAAAGAAGGAGAGACUGAGCAAUUGUUCGGUUGGUGCUAGUGCUACCGUGCAUGCUAGCGCUCGAAAGAAAGAAGGAAUCCAACAACAACAACGAGCGCCUACCUAAGCGCUUCUUUUCCUCUCGGCGGAAGGCAUCCACCGGAGUGGCACAGAACAGGAGGCAUCUAAAGGGACGGCCCUCGUUUUCGCGGAUAAUUGUUAGACCCGGAGCCGACUGGUAGUAGUAGUGGCGGAAUAUAUUCCUCCGGAGAUAUGCGCUCCAGAGGAGAGGAAAUUAGUAGAACGUACGCCCGGGCUUACAUAGAUAUAUGAUGCUAGAGGUGGGUGCCUGCGCAUGGUUUACAUUUGUCAACACGUCGCACAAAAGGGACACGAUGACUAUGAGGUUGUUUCGAUGCUUCGGCUGCUCUCUUCUGCCUGCUUGCGUGUUGAUUUGCCUGAAUUUACGCAGGUGUGAAUGGGAUUCCUACUUUCUCAAGACGGAUAGUGGCUUUGGUUUGGCUAUGCUCGAUGCUUUUGAGGAUUGGGUUUAGGAAUAUCGUGCUACGCAUCCAAAGUGCCCAUGCACUGUGUGACGAACACGACAUCGGUGGCACAAGGUCCAAAUCUCAAAGGGAAGCUUCGCAUACAGAAUAGCUUGGUCCAAACACUGAAUGACCGAGUAUCAGCUCCACCAUAUCCAAAAACUGCAAACUAAGUGCUCCACGGAUAAAAUAGUUUGAGACGAGAGCUAAAUCGCUAAAUGGUUUAUUGCUUCUACUACAGGAGAAUAACAAAUAUAUCCAAUAGGUACAGAAAGGACACACCUCGCAGUCCAAUUAUCCACAGGCAAUCCAUAUGUCAUCUAUGAACUACACUAUAUCCUCCUAGUGCCCACCCUGAUUCUAGCUCACCGGCAUCGACAAGCAUUUCAGAGUUCCUCACCUCUCCAUGCUUGGCCUUCCUAGACAAGGCCGAGGCCCGCUGAAAAUAUCACAACAAAGCAGAAUAAAUCAA
rnacentral:lncRNA from 1 species